rnacentral:lncRNA from 1 species
UUCACGAACGACGUGGGCUCGUGACUUGGGCACUCGACUUCCUCUUUGGGCUCCUGGGGUUCUGCUGGCUGGGCCUCCGGCUCCUGGCUGUUCUCCUGGCCUUCCGGAUUCACCCUCUCGAUCUCGAGCGUGGCUCCGAUCUCCGAUGCACCUAUUGCAUGCACGUGCAGUGAGUGAGGGAUGUAUGCAUACAAGGGAUGACAGAUGCAUUACAUGAUGACUAUCCCAACACCUCACUGGACACUCAUUUACGGAGUAAACUUCUCAACAAGUUUACACAAGAGCUCCACAAGACCUAGCAAAGAUACAAACUUAAACAAUCAGCAUACUAUUCUCAACAGGGCAUCCAAAGAACAGCUCAUAACUCGAGAUGCAUAGAUCUAGCGAACAUGAAUUAAGACAUUCUGGAAAGCUUAUAAAAUUACCUACAUUUCAUCUUUAGACACCUCAGCAAGAUUCAUAAGUGAAACAGGUCAAUUAAACAAAGUUUCAGAUUUUGUCCCAGAAAAACAGAGAGCACCUAUUUCGGGAACCUGAUUUGGAACAGCUAUAACUCUUAAACUACUGGGCCAAAUGACCCCAAAUUUUUACCACAGCUAGAACACAAAGUUUACAACAACUUUGGUAUCGACAAGGUUUCCAGAAAACAUACUUAGCAUCUUGCAACUACCAGAUUUAUCCGUUGCUGUCCAGAAAAGCUAAUUAACCUUAAAUUAAUUAUUUGUUAACAUGGCAAAAGCAUAUUUAUUGUCAACCAAGUGACUCAUCAGAACACUCAUGAUACACGAUUACCAGAAAACCUUAUGUUACUUACCAAACCAUUAUUUAUAGGGCCUUCAUUAAUUUAUUUCCAUAAAAGAGCAUAAUUAGGAUAUACAAGCAUAAGUACUCAUAAAAAUCUACAAAAAUUACAGGAGCACAUGCAUGGCACCUAAACAUCACUAUAAAAUUUUCAGGGCAAUUGCACAUGCCAAACUUCAGAAAUUAAAUUAACAUGUGACAAGGUGCUUAUUACCAUUAAUUAGGAAACUAGGAUUAAACAGUGUCAAACAGCAGAUUUCAGAUUAUUUUUAUGAUUCUACUACCAUUAACACAUGGCUCACCAAAAGAGAGCACCAGCAUAAGCAUAUGUCAUUUGUCAUGAUUUAUACAAGGAUUAUAGCAAUAGAGCAAGUAUAAAUUACAUAUCAGGGAUACAACACUCCAAAAAUCAUUACAUAAUUACCAGAGCCUAGUAUUACCAUACAAAGCAUGCCAUAAAAUUUUCAUCACAUUUGGAGCUUUACACAGAAAGAUAUGACUUUACUUUGAAUAAACAAGAUUAAUUCAUAACAAUUAUUUUCCACAUAAAACAUGGUAGAUCUUAUAUUUUUAAUAAAAACUAGCCAUCUCAUAGAAUGUCACUCAGGAAUAGGAGAUAUGAUUUUUGCAAGAUGGCACAAAAUCUAGAAUUUGAAUAAAUGAAGAGGAGGGAAACGGUGGGUCACUGACAAUGGGACCCCUGUGUCAGGUUCUUCUUCCCCCCGACAGAGAUGGAGUUCGCCGGUGAUUUCUCCUCAACGGCGAGGUCUCCAGCCAAACCAAGGGAAUAAGCGUGACCCAGAACCCUAGCGCCUCGAUUGACCCCCUUUUCCCCACGGCGGAGCCACCGGAAGGUGCAUGCCGUCGAUCAUGGCGGCUCAGCGGAGGUGCUCGGCAGUACGCCGGCGUUCUCCAACUGGUAGAGCGCAUGCUGAAGCUUCCUAUGGCUCCAGUGAACCACGGCGAAGCUUCCUAGGUAUGUGACUUGGCUAGAAACAACGCAGUUAGGGCUGGCCACGAGAUGAUGACCGAGCUCCGGUGGAAACACGAUGGCGCUGCGCGUCGUCUCUAGCGACGGUGAGCACGGUAGAGCGUCUCUCGUGCUGCGCUAAAGCUAACUAAGUACCUAGGCUACCCAAAGAAGCAAGAAAUAGAGGAAGAGGACCUCCGAGGUGCGCAGCAUUGAGUUUGCCGGAGAAAAUGACUCCAGUGAACUAUUUUGGGGAAGAUGGGAAAUGCGGGCUCACCGAGGCUCUCCAUGGCAAGCUUGGAGGUGGACGGGGUGGAGGAGAUUUGAGUGGAGCUGCAGACGGAGUUUGGCGGGCAGAGUUGCUGCGAAACGCGUGGGCGAGCUCGCCGGAGUGAGCUCGGCAAUGGUGAUGCCGCUGUCGCUGCGCUUUCAACGAGAGAGAGAGAGAGAGAGAGGCGAGGAAGAGAAUGAGCAUGACCGGGAGCUCGAGGAUGUCGCCAUGGAGGUCAUGCACACACGGCAAGCUGAUGAGCGAGCCUAGGGACGGCGUAUGGGUGCUAAAUGUCAGCCAGGUGCUGUCCCUGGUCGGCCACCUCCCCUGACUGAAGCUCGCCAUCAGAGCUUCGAUCAAUGAGUGACAGAGCUACUUUGACGAUGAUUAUCUCCAAAACCAAAGUGAAUUAGGAGAUGAUGCAGUUGACAAACUUGGAGUAUUAGCCGAGAUCUACAACUUUGUCAACAAGAGCAAGAGCUAAAUUUGUCUGGAUGAAGAGAUAGAAGGUUCUCAAAAUCCUUCGAGCAAACUGGGUUGCCAGGAAGACAGAAACUUUCUAAGUGUUGAAACAGCCCCCAAAUCUGCCUUGUGGGCCAUUUUUGAGCAAGUUGUGAUCAUUUUCAUAAGAUGGCCCUAAAACAACUUUUGUUCCCUACAAAAUUUUCUACAACUUCGCUUUAGAAAGUUUUGACAUGCAAAUAUUUGAUGAAACACUUUUUAAAAGCCUAAGCAAAAGAGGUCUAUAGGUCACCCUAUGUGAAACUAUGACUUAAGAGCAUAAUUAGAGCAAGUGACCAACAUGAACAUUGAUCCUUAGGGCAAAACAAGCAUAGAUAAACUAAUUACCAAGGUUGUAACCACACCCUAGCACGAGGUAGACAUGAUCAUGAGCAUAACAAGCAUAAAUUAGCCAGCAAGCAAACACUUAGCACAUGAAAUGAUAGGGUCCACAUGGCAUGAUGCUCAUGGAAUGAAAUGAUGAUGAUCAUGCUUAUGUCAUGCAAGAAAAGAAUGCAACCAUAACACUAGGGUGUUACAGCCCUCCCCCUUACAAAAAUCUCGUCCUGAGAUUUGAAGAGCUUACUAGUUUUCGUAUAUAGUCCUCCCAUUCCCAUGUAGCAUCUUCGUCCCUGUGGUUACUCCACGAAACCUUGUAGAGCUUAACCACGUGAUUACGUGUUACCCAGUCCUUACGGUUAAUGAUCGCCACAAUUUUCUCUUCAUACACUAAGUCUGAUUCUAACUUGAUAUCCAAAAUUUCCACUCUCUCUCUUCAGGGACUCGAAGACAUUUCUUUAAUUGAGACAAGUGGAAGAUAGGAAAAAUAGCUCACAACUCAGCUGGCAGUUGAACCUUGUAGGCUACGUACUUUCCCUUUUCUCUCAAGAAUCCGAUAAGGUCCUACAUAGUGGGGUGCAAGCUUUCGCUUGACUCUGAACCUUUGUACACCUUUCAUUGGAGACACAUUGAGAUAGACGUGAUCCCCGACUGCAAAAUCAAUCAGUUUCCUUCUCUUGUCAGCAUAACUCUUUUGUCAAGCUUGGGCAGCUUCCAAAUGUUGCUGGAUUAUACAGAAUUGCUGCUUCGCUUCAUUCACAAAAUCAAUGCCACAAUACCUUCGCUCCCCUGGUUCCACCAACUUCAACAGAGUUUGAAACUUUUGGCCAUACAGGGCUUCAAAAGGAGCCAUCUUAAUUCUCUCUUGAUAACUAUUGUUAUAGGAGAACUCAGCUAAUGGCAACCAUUUCACCCAAGAUCCCUUCGAAGAUAAAGCACAUGCCUCAACAUGUAUUCUAAGAUUUGGUUCACACGCUUAGCUUGGCCGGCAGUUUGCGGAUGAUAAGCAGAACUUCAGACCAAAUGAGCACCGACUUGCUUAUGAAGACACUCCCAAAAAUGAGUAGUGAACUGUGGUCCACAAUCCGAUAUGAUAGUGUGAGUUACACCAUACUGGUGGACAAUGUGCUUGAAAUACAACUCUGCAUACUGAUGUGGACGAUACUCAGUUCAAACUAGGAUAAAACGAGCAACCUUGGUCAAACGAUCAACGAUUACCCAAAUUGAGUCGUAACCCUUUUCAGAAGGUGGAAGUCCAGAGAUAAAGUCCAUACUCACUUCUUUCCAUUUCCAACCAGGGAUUGGUAAGAGUUGAAGUAGACCCGCUUUCAUGUGAACUGCUUUCACACGACAACAGUUAUCGCAAUGAGCAACAAAAGCAGCGAUCUCCUUCAUUUUUGUCCACCAAAACAGAGGUUUUAGGUCCUGAUACAUCUUACUACUACUAGGAUGAAUAGAUACCUUGGACGAAUGAGCCUCAAACAAGAUCUGAUUUCGGAGCUCACGAUUCUUUGGUACUACAAGCCUAUCCUUGAACCAUAGAAUUCCGUUCUUGUCAACCUGAAAAUGCUUGGUUUCUUCCUCUUUCAUCUUUCUCUUUAUAUGGUGGAUUCCUACAUCAGUUUGCUACAACUCAAUCACUCGAUUACGAAGAGAACUUUCUAGGGCAAUAUGGUGAAGCACUAAGGGAUGCAUAAGACGUGACAAGGGUGGAUCCUCAAUCCUGACCGAAUUGCAAUGUGACUUCUAACUCAAGGCAUUCGCAACAACAUUUGCCUUGCCCAAAUGGUAGUGCACUUGAACAUUAUAAUCUUUAAUCAACUCAAGCCACCUUCGCUACCGCAUGUUCAAUUCAGGUUGGGUAAAGAUAUACUUGAGACUCUUAUGAUCAGUGUAGAUAUUACACAGAUACCCAGCACAUAAUGCCUCCAGAUCUUCAAAGCAUGAACUACAGUGGCCAAUUCUAGACCAUGAGUAGGGUAAUUAACCUCAUGCUUUUGGAGUUGGCGUGACGCAUAGGCGAUAACUUGACCUUCUUGCAUAAGAACACAACCCAGGCUGAUACCAUAUGCAUCACAAAAGACAUCAAACGGCUUUUUGUUAUCGGGUUGAGCUAAGACAGGAGCUGAUGUUAACAAGGUUCUCAACUUGUGGAAUGCCUCUUCACACUCCGGCAUCCACAAAAACUUUUCAUCUUUUCAAAGCAAAUGAGUCAUAGGCUUGAAUAUUUUGGAAACCUCCAGGAUGAAACAACGCUAAUACCCAGCCAAACCAGAAAACUCUAAACCUCAUGUAUUGAGGUUGGAACCUUCCAAUCCAGCACUUCUUGCACCUUGGCCAGAUCAACUGAAAUUCCCUCUUUAGACAAGACAUGGCCCAAGAAGGGUACUUUCUUUAGCCAGAACUCACACUUGCUAAACUUAGCAUAAAGCUGAUGCUCACGCAAUCAAGUCAACACCACACGCACAUGCUCUACAUGUUCUUCUUCAUUGCGAGAAUAUACCAAGAUAUCAUCGAUGAAGACCACCACGAACUUGUCCAACUCGGGCAUAAAGACCGAGUUCAUGAGAUACAUGAAAUGUGCCAGUGCAUUGGUUAGACCGAAGGACAUAACGAGAUACUCAUAGAACCCAUACCUCGUUGAGAAAGUCGUCUUGGGUACAUCUUUAGAACGGAUCUUGAUCUGAUGGUACCCAGAUCGCAAAUCAAUCUUGGAGAACACCUUGGCUUUAGACAACUGAUCAAACAAGAUAUCAAUGCGAGGAAGAGGAUACUUAUUCUUGAUAGUCACUGCAUUGAGUGGGCAAUAAUCCACACACAUGCGCAAGGAUUGAUCUUUCUUCUUCACAAAGAUAGCUAGACAACCCCAAGGAGAAGAACUAGGGUGAAUAAGACCCUUCUUCAACAACUCAUUCAACUAGGUCUUAAGCUCAGCUAGCUCAUUUGGCGGCAUUCUAUAAGGCCAGCAAGAAAUAGGAGCAGUGCCUCAAAGAAAUUCAAUUUUGAACUCCACGUCCCGGUCUGGAGGAAGCCUGGGCAAGUCAUCAAGAAAGACGUCCGGAAACUCACGCACAACCAGAAUAUUCUCGAUGGCACUAGAUGUAACUACGUUCAUCGUGCUGCGGAUAUGAAUAUCUCGAGGAAGCUACACUAAGAAUGGCUCCUUAGUACUAGGAUCCCUCAAGAUCACCAUGCGAGUAGUGGUGUUGAUAAGAACCCCAUUACCACUCAUGCACUUCAUUCCUAGAAUCAAAUCUAUGCCCACACCAGGAAAGACAACCAAAUCAGCAAUAAAAUAAUGGUCUCCUAUUUCCACAGUCACCCCAAAACCACUUGAUUUGUAAAAAUAUUAUUCCUAGCGGCACUUAUGCAAAAACUGCCUUUAUCAAGGGUAACUACCUUGAGAUUAUGCUUAGAUACAAAAUCUGAACUCACAAAUGAAUUUGAUGCCCAGAAUCAAAAAGUACAACUGCAUCACAUUGGUUUACCAAAAACUUACCAGCUGUCACCACCUCACCAACAAGGAUUUCAUUAACAGUAGUGUAGUGAACAAGCCCCUGAUGGACGUUCCCACGAUUGGUCUUCUUGGGCGGGUAAGGACAGUUGCUUUGCCAAGGCGCCGUCUAAUUGCAAUUCUGGCACGGGCGGUUGGCAGGUGGAGUCUUGGCAUUGCUGGGCCCAGUGUUUCCCCUAGGAACAGCAAUAGAAUACCCCUUGCAGAACACAGUCUUCAUCGGAUUCUUCCUCACUGGAGGGCGGUACUGCAUAUUUGGAGUCGGUCCACGGUACUGGGGUUUAGCUGCAACUGGAGCCUUGGACUAAGAUGCCCCAGAUUUAAAAGCUUGCUUGCGAGUUUUAGUAGCAGUAUACACAGUAUUAUAAUUCUCCUGAGUAAGAGCAUCACUGACAAACUCGUUGAAGGUGGCACAUUUGGUGCGGUCCAUAGUCUUCAAUAGCUUGGGGCCAAGACCCCUUUUGAAACUGGCAAUCUUCUUGGCCUUAGUAUUCACAAACUCAGGUGCAUACCUCGACAAAUGAUUUAAAGCAUGCAGAUACUCUUUUAGAGUUUUGUUGCCCUAAGUCAACUGCAUAAACUGUGUAUGCUUCUUCUCCAUGAGUCCUGGGCGUAUGAAGUGCCCCUUAAAUGCCUCACAGCAAAGAUUCAAGUCCACCACUAUAUUUGCUGGAAGAGCGUCCCUGUGCUGGUUCCACCAGAUACCAGCGGGACCCUGCAACUAAUGAGCUACAUAUUCCACCUUCAAACUGUCGAUCAGCCUGAGCAAGUGGAACUUUUGUUCCACCGUGUUCAGCCAUUCCUCAAUCUAAAAGGGUUCCUCAGCCUCCUUGAAGGGUGGGGACUUGGUAUCCAUGAAGUCCUUGAAACUGCUAUACUGGUUGGUGUUGACUCUUCUUAGCAUCAGUACCUAGGAUUGUCAGUCCUUGGCACAACACUAGAAAUGCUUGUGUGACACCAGAAGUGGCAAAUGGUUUUACCGCAAGUGGAGAGUGGUCAAUGCAGCACUUCACCAGGAGUAUUCUAGGUAUCGUAUUUUCAACGGGGAACGAGAAGUGGACUAACUAGACCAAUUGAGUCGUUGGAUGAUGAUUAAAGGACUUAGGAUUGGGUGGAGAGGUAUUUCUAGUAUUUGGCUUCUAGCUAAGCUAUCCUAAGUAUACUGAGAGUUAACUCCCUUCCUACUGUGGCCGAUAGGUCAAAAUGGUGUGGCGAAACACUUCCCUAGGAAGCUACCAUGCAGGCCAACUAUUAUUUGCAACUUGCCUAACAACACACUGAAGAGAACUCCUAAUAUCCAGUAGAGGCCUAUCACGCUUCGCUGCUGGUGUUCUUCAGGUGCGACAAGAAGUCCACAAGGGCAGACUGAGUCUAGACACCACGUCUACUCUAAUUCUACUACUUUAGACCCAGCUAAGGUUUCGAGCACUUCACACAAGGCAAAGCAAUGCGCCAGUAGGCCAAAUGUAUACUUAAAAUAAACUAAGACAGAAAGUAAAUACUCGAAGUACUUAGAUGAAAGGCAACUAGAAGGAAGACUUACUAGAAGACAAGCAUCUGCUGAGGCAGUCCUGGAAGAAACCUGACAAACCGAGACUUCUCCUCGGGAAACUCCUCACUCUCUUCCCUCUAUUCUCAUACUAGCUAAGAGUAGCUCUUCCUAAGAUACAUCAUACCUAACUAGACUCUCUAAGGGAGUAUUUAUAGGGGGGGAUGGAGUAGGGGCUACUCUAGUGCCACGUCACUGAUCUGCAUGCUCCUUCUUCCUCACCGUUGGAUCAAACCGACCAUGGAACAGCCAUUUGAUCAACGGUUGGGGAUUUCCAUCACAUGUUCAUCAUGGGGAUAUCAGUGGGAGUGAACCAACUCAAGGUGGUCCCACAUCACAGGUCAGUCGACCGACCUAUUGCCUCCAUGUGGGUCCCACCAAUCUUCUAGAAGAUGAUGAGGUCGGUGGGAUUGUGGGCCAGGUGGGGGCCCACCAAAUGUAGGUUGGCCGACCAACACUUUGGGGGGUUGGCCCACCACCUUGCUCCACAUGUUGUCCCCACUUGUCAUCUUCAAUGUUUUGUUGAUAUGUGGUAGUUUUGGUUCUUGAUCAUCUUUGCUUCAUUUGAGCUUGAUCAGGCUUGAUUAGUGGCUGUUUGCACCUGCAUCCAAAUAAUGACUUGUACAUGUGGAACCAAGUGAAUUGUACCUAUGUCACUACUUAGUUGCUUGGUGUUAUCCCAGAACUUAACCUUUGUUGAUGGUUUUAGUGGUAAAAAAUCAUAGUGAAAAUACUGUCAACAAGAUCCCCCACACUUGAGUCUUUACUCGUCCUCGAGUAAAGGUUAGAGACAAGUUAAAUAUCAUGGUGCAUAUAGUUGUAUUCAGAACAUAGCUCAUGCAAAUGGGUUAUGUGGUAAGUGUCUAGCAGAUUUCCUUGGGAAGUUGAUAAGAGGAACAGUAGUAAGACAAAAUCAGCUCCCAAACUUCUAUUCUUGGUACUUAGAGUUUUCAUGAUAGUUCAAAGAAAGCACAUAGUUUAUUCUGACUCAUUUAUCACUCUCUCAAAUCCCUCAGUUUGUAAAGCAAUCUUACCAAGGCAUAACUGUUAGCCCUUCUUGCUACAUCCUACAUCUAUUACGCUUAUGUGGAGCUUGGUAGGGAAAAACAAGGUAGCAUAUCAUGCAUUGCAUUUAUUGUAAAGUCAAAGCAAGGAUCUAAGGACAGGAGUGUCAUAGUCUGAGAUCAAGAUGUGCAAGUGUGUGUGAUAGCUCCUUUAUUGACUUUGCUCUCUCUAUUUCUUUGUUUCUAAGAGACAAGGCUAGCUCUUUUUUUGCCUCUGCUUUUGUGUCUCAUAUAUAAUUAACUCUUAGAGAGAGAUUCUACAUUAUUGAGCAUAUGGAGCAUCUAUAUUUUAUGGGAUGAAAUGGGAUGUUGCGUGCUCCCAGUGUAGGAGUGGCACGAACUGUGGUGUGUGUGAUCUUGAUCUUAGGACUAUGACAAAAACUCUCACUAUGAUCUACAUGAUUUGACCAAACUCAAUACAUAUGCAAGCUGCACACAAGGGUUGUUUCAGACAUACAUGUUUUGGCUCUGGUAGGAAUUUCAUUGCUAAUGAGGAGUGAAUAAAACUAUGGUUUUACGAUAUUUAAAAUAAAUUCCAAGUACCUUGAAUAGAAUUGGUGUGAUGAGCUUAGAACUAUGCCACUUUCAUCAACAACUUAGUCAAAAUGCAUUCCUAUAUAAUUUUUGUACCCAUAAGCAUAAACAUAUGUCAGAAUGAACUAUGUGUCACAUAUGGAUCUUUAACUGCCAAUACUCAAGUUAGUCAUGUGAAUUAAAUUUCAUUUUAAACAUUUAGAAUAGAGGAGGAAAAAGUAAGGACGAGAGGGAGUAAAGGAUGCAAACCAGACAGGAAGAUGCGAGUCAUCGUGUUGAUGCUGGCUAGUGGGCCUGGGGUCACCAGGUGGGGUCGACCGACGCUACCCUAGUGUGCCCAGGAUGGCCCCUAUGUUCUCCUCGACGCGUGGAGUGUUGCCAUGACAUCCAUUUUCCGGAUGGUGCAAAACCUACGGUCGACCGACCCAACUUUUGGGUCGAUAUUUGGCGUGUCAACUCGGGUCUGUGCUCCUGACCAAAGUGUGUGCUUUGUUUCGUCCAGUGACGACAUUGGGUGGAUCGGCCGAUCCCCCACACUCGAGGUUUUCUGCGUUCUGAAUUUCAACAAUGCGCAGAGAUGUCACGUGCACAUGUUCUGCUGGUGGCAACACACCAGCAGAACUCGAAGUCUUAUUUUAUUCAACCUAAGCUUUUUAUUCAAGAGUUCAAAUAUUGUAGGCACUUUUACAUUUGAGAAAAAGGGAAAUGGGACUAAAGAAAUCAAAAUGGAAUAAUUCAAAACUAAGUUCUAGUCUAAUUAAAGUAAACUAGGGAGAUGAGAUCUCUAGUAGAUCCUCUCUGUUGAUCGCCUUAGCGAUCCUCUUGAUCUUCACAUUAUUGCUAACGUGAAGAUGGUUGAACUCAUCUUCCAAGUCCCGGUAGGCCAUCAUUAGCUCUGACACGGUCUCCAUGAGGGCCGUGCUCUUCUUGCGCAGGAGACCCAUGACGUGGAGGAGCUUCUCCACGUUGCUCUUCUCCUGCUCCCCCUCAAAUUGGCUUGGAGGGCCUCUGAUGGGAGGUGGAGACAGCCGACGGCGAACGGAGCCACUGCUGGAGUCGUUGGACUCCCUCAGGGCCCUCCGCUCUUCAGUGUCCAGGGACAUUACGAGUUUCUUCCCCAUCCUAGGCCCUGCGCUCAUAAUCUUACGCAACGGCGGUGAGGCUGAGGUGUAGGAAGGCGUGAACACCGAGCUGCCCGUAGUGUUGGAGGAGACGGCAAUGGGGGCCUUGCUGGUGCCCACCGGAGACUUGCCCUUCGAUGCCAAUUGGCCUGUGGUAUGCCACUUUGAUGUGGUGGCCCUUAUUGGAGAUUUCCCAAGCGUUCUCCUCAGGGUGAGAGAAUGUGACGAGGAUCCCAACUUGGAGAAACGCUGGGGGGUCCUCGGGCGACCACGCUCUGGGUCGGACGACCCAAAGACAUGGUCGAUCGACCGGAGGUUUUGCCCCAACGGCCCUCCAGUGGGUGGCACCAUGGUCAGCGGCUCUGCCUCGAUGACAUCCACCGCCAUGAGCUGCUCCAAUUCCUCCAUAAGGGAGAGGGCAGGCAUCGGUGAGUCAGGGCGGCGGAUGAUCUGGUUGUUUUUCAAUGGAGGGGCCAUGGCAAGGUGUUAGUGGUGAUGGUGAGGUGUUCAAUAGUUCAGAAUGGCUCUUGAUUUGAGGUGGAAAGCAAUGGGAGCAAGAAGAAGAAGAGGGGGGAGCUAUUUGUAGGCUUAGGAGGAUGCUCCUGGCCGUAGGAAUUUGAAAUCUGCCUGGAGCGUCGAAGGGAUAAUCAAGACGGAUGAGAGUGAUCCGAGAAUGUUUGGAUCCCUUCAAAGAGGGAUCGGUUGACCGGCCAAUUUCAAAAUUUUGAAAUUUCGAGUUCGUGGCUACCUUCCCACUCUGUUCUAAACGUGGCAAGGUGCCUAGUUGCACUAAGUUUCGGUCGGUCGACCGCCUCUUUGGGGCCUGGUUCGACCGGGGUUUGUGCCCCAACCUCCCUUAGUCGUGAAAGGUGUGGUAUCCUUUGGAUCGACACUUACCUUGGUCGACCGACCCCUUUAGUGGGAGUCUGGCUCGACCAGGUGUGUCUCUCGGGCCACCCAAGAGUUUAUUGUGUGGCCUGACCCCUAAAUGUGUUAAGUCUACAUUCCAUCUAGUGAUCAAGCAAUCAAGAAGGAAAUAGGAUGACAUAUAGAUUUUAGUUGAUGGGGUUUAGAACAAAUUCUAUCAUGUCUACUUCUUUUUCUAAAGGUUCAUGUUCAUAAAAGAGCUUGAGGUGAUGACCAUUUACCUUAAAGACGUUGCCAUUGUUGUCCUGAAGUGUUACGGCUCCAUGUGUCGUGACGUCGAUCACCACGUAUGGGCCCUCCCACUUGCUUCUUAGCUUCCCAUGGCCAAAAAUUUUGACCCUGGAGUUGAACAAAAGAACCUUGUUCCCAAGAUGGAACUCUUUUUGCGUGAUUCGCUUAUCAUGCCAUCUUUUGGUUCUUUCCUUGUAGACUCUGGCAUUGUUAUAAGCUUUAUCUCUCCAUUCUUCGAGUUCUGAGAUUUGAAGCUUUCGAUUGAGGCCGGCUGAGGGCAGGUCCAUGUUCCAUCUUUUUAUGGCCCAAUGUGCCCUAUGCUCGAGCUCAAAUGGUAAGUGGCAUGUCUUUCCAUAUACAAGCUGGUAUGGUGACAUACCGAUGGGGGUCUUGUAUGCGGUCCUAUAUGCCCAAAGUGCAUCAUGGAGUUUGUUCACCCAUCCUGUCCCCAUUUCCUUGACAGUCUUUUGCAGAAUGUUCUUGAUUUUUUUAUUUGAGGUUUCUGCUUGUCUGCUUGUUUGGGGAUGAUAAGGUGUACCCACAUUGUGCCUUAUCCUCACUUCUGUUAGGAAUUCAUGGAAUCUCCUGUCAAUGAAGUGGCUGCCCCCAUCACUAAUAACCAACCUUGGGGUGCAAAAUCUUAGGAAGAUGAUCUCCUAGAACAUCUUUUUGGCAUGUUUUGAGUCAGCUGCUCUGCAAGGCAGUGCUUCAACCCAUUUGGACACGUAGUCCACUGCCACCAAGAUGUACUCGUAGCCUUGACAUGGCGAGAAUGGACCCAUGUAGUCUACUCCCCAUACAUCAAACAACUCCAAUUGAAAGUUGUUUGUAAGAGGCAUGGCAUCACAGGUAUUGAUGAAGUCUUGAGUGUCUUGGUACAUGACAAGUGGUCUGCGACCGAGUUCUCUACUCCCUUUUUAUCUUUCAUCUCUAAGUCAAAUUCUUGGAGUAGCAGGAUCCAUCUUAUUAGCAUUGGUUUAGCAUCUUUCUUAGUGAGCAGGUAUUUUAAUGCAGCGUGAUCGGUGUAAAUGAUCACCUUUGCCCCUACUAAGUAAGAUCUAAACUUGUCUAUAGCAAACACUACAGCUAAAAGCUCCUUUUCUGCUGUUGCAUAGUUUAGCUGUGGGCCAGUUAGUGUUUUGUUAGCAUAAGAGAUAGCGUGAUGCUUUUUAUCUUUGGUCUGUCCUAAGAUAGCACCUACAGUAUAAUCACUAGAAUCACACAUUUAUCUCAAAAGGAAGCGACCAAUCAGGGGGUUGUAUGAUUGGUGCAGAAAUAAGUGCUUUCUUGAGGUAGUAAAAAGCAUCUAAGCACCCACGAACAAACUUAAAGGGUGCAUCUUUAGCUAACAGGUUUGUUAGAGGUCUAGUGAUUUGUGAAAAAUCUUGUAUAAACCUCCUAUAAAAACCCGCAUGACCAAGAAAAUUGCGUACACCUCUAACAUUCGUGGGAGGUGGGAGCUGUUCUAUGACCUCUAUUUUAGCUUUAUCUACCUCUAUCCCACGCUCAAACACUCUAUGUCCUAGCACUAUCCCCUCCCGAACCAUGAAAUGACAUUUCUCCCAGUUUAGGAUCGAGUGCUUCUCUUGGCAUCUUUGUAAGAUGCGGUCCAGGUUAUCAAGAGAGUCAUCAAAAGUCUUCCCAUAGACGGAAAAGUUGUCCAUGAAGACUUCCAUGAUUUCUUCAAUCAUGUCUGAGAACAUGGACAUCAUGCACCUUUGGAAGGAAGCGGGAGCAUUGCAUAGGCCAAAAGACAUGCGCCUAUAUGCAUAUGUCCCAUAAGGGCAUGUGAAUGUCGUCUUACUCUGAUCAUCGGGAUGGAUUGGGAUUUGAUGAUAACCCGAAUAACCGUUAAGGAAGCAAAAGAAAGAAUGCUUUGCUAACCGUUCUAGCAUCUCAUCGAUGAACGAUAACGGGAAGUGAUCUUUCUUUGUAGCCUUGUUGAGUUUUCGGUAAUCUAUGCACAUCCUCCAUCCCGUGACGGUUCUUUGUGGGAUAAGGUCAUUAUUAUUGUUUUUAACUACCGCCAUUCCUCUCUUCUUAGGACUACUUGUACGGGGCUGACCCACUCACUGUUUGGAACAGGGUAGAUUAUGCCCGCGUGUAAGAGCUUCAAGACCUCUUUCUUCACUACUUCUCUCAUCGCAUUAUUUAGCCUUCUUUGAGGCUCCCUUGAAGGUGUAGCAUCGGGUUCUAUGGGUAUGCGAUGAGUGAAGAGAGCGGGACUAAUUCCCUUAAGGUCUUGGAGGGAGUAUCCUAAGACAGAGCGGUGUUUCUCUAACACGACAUAAGUUUAGCGGCCUCCUCCUUAGAGAGCUAAUCGCAAAUGAUGACAGGGCUAUCCCUAUCGCUGUUAAGGAAGACAUACUUAAGCCCAGGGGGAAGUGGCUUAAGUUCUAGGGAGGGCUUAGGUGGUGGCUCGGAUUCAUCUAGCUCUAGUGGUUCAUCUAGUUCUGUUUCUAGCUCUUUGAUGUAAUCCUUAGCUUCCUCCUUUAGAUUAGGCUGUGAUGCCUCUAGGUGAGUGGCUACCAUCACCUCCUCCAUCAGGUCAGUUUUGGGAUUUGGCUCGAUUUCGGCAUCAAUCGAGUCGACAUAGGGGAUGGACAGGUUUAGGUUCUUCCCUAUUUGACCCUUGAGGUGCCCUCUAUGAAAUGCAUCAAUGAAUCUGAUAAGCGGGUGCCCAAUUAACAGGUCAAUGUCCUCUACAUCAAAGAUGUAGAAAUUCAAGAAGAUAUGGACCUUGUUAAUGAAAACAAACAUGUUCUAUGCAAGGCAGCAGCUCUCGACCAAUUGAAAGGUCCUAAUAUGGCUAGAGGGGGGGUGAAUAGCCUAUUUAAAAAUUCUACAAACUCACUAGAGCAAAAGGUUAGUAAAUAACAAAGCGAAGCUUUUUGCUCUAGCUCUAAAGGGCUGUUUGCAAGCCACCUACCCAACAAUUCUAGUUGCUAAGAUCUCUAUGCACACAAGAACUAAGUCUCUACAAGUUACACUAGAGAACUAAGCUACACAAGUCAAAGUAAGCAACUAAACUAAUUACACUAGUUUGCGGUAAGUAAAGAUAAGAUGAGAUAUUUAUACCACCGUGUAGGGGAUGAACCAAUCACCAAUAUAAACAAUCAAGCACCGGGAGAAUGCCAAUCAAACACAAUUGAGACACCGAUUUUUCUCCCGAGGUUCACGUGCUUGCCGGCACGCUACGUCCCCGUUGUGUCGACCAACACUUGGUGGUUCAAUGGCUAAGAGGUGUAGCACGAACCUCGUCCUCACUAGGACACCACAAGAACCUACCCACAAGUGAGGUAGCUCAAUGACACGAGCAAUCUACUAGAGUUACCUUUCGGCUCUCCGCCGGGGAAGGUACAAGACCCCUCACAAUCACCGGGAGAUGGCCACGAACAAUCACCAACUCGUGCCAAAGCUCCUCCGCUGCUCCAAGCCGUUUAGGUGGCGGCAACCACCAAGUGUAACAAGAAAACCGCAGCUAGAACGAUCCCCAAGUGCCACUAGAUGCAAUCACUCAAGCAAAUGCACUUGGAAUCACUCCCAAUCUCACAAAGAUGUAUAAUCUAUGAAGGAGAUGAGUGGGAGGUGUUUGCUUAGGCUCACAAGGAUGUCUAGUAGUCAAGAAUGCCAAGAGAAUUAGCCCCAAGCUGGCCAAACACGUAUUUAUAGCCCCUCAAACAAAUAGAGCCGUUGGCUCUUACAUUAGGCGAAAUACGGGGUCACCGGACGCUCUUAAAGGGGCACCGGACGCUCAACACCUGCGUCCGGUGCUCCAACGUCAGCCGCGUGUCCGAGUCUAACGGUAACCUGCAGUGCACCGGACGCUGAGCAAGUUGGCACCAGACGUGUAACUCAUGCGCAGAGAGUUCCGCAAACCUGCGGGUCACCGGACGCUAAGCACCGGUAGCGUCCGGUGCUCACCGGACCCAUGCGCAGUGAGGGUCGCAAAACACCCGCACACCGGACGCUAACCACCGGACGCUCCAAGCUGCGUCCGGUGCAUAUCGUCCGGUGCCUAACCCUAACCGAGUCAGGCUGCCUACUCACGGACGCACAGGAACAGCGUCCGGUGCUUCUGAGUCAGCGUCCGGUGAGUGUUCCUCAGCGAGAAACACUCCCACGACUUCUCCAAUUUUCCCACCGACGCAAUAGAAAAUAUGCACUUCAUUUUCUCGAAAAGCGCCGACACCACAACGUGUGUACCAACACCACAACGUGUGUACCAACAAGUGCACGUGUGUUAGCAUUUUCACAAUCAUUUUUCUUCGAAGGGGUUAAGUUAGCUCACUAGGUUCUAAAUGCAUGCACAUGAACAAUGACACCUAGUGGCACUUGAUAACCACUUAGCCAAAGAAUUCCCCUCUUUAUAAUACGGCUAUCUAUCCCAAAUGUGAUCACACCCUCUAUGGUGUCUUGAUCACCAAAACCAAAACCCUAAGCAAUACCUUUGCCUUGAUCUCCAUAGGGUUUUGUUUUUCUCUUUCUUCUUUUCCAAGUUGAGCACUUGAUCACCUUGUGGUCAUCAUCAUCAUCACCAUGAUCAUCACUUGCUCCAUCACUUGGCAUGUACCAACCUCAUUAAGUCUACACACACUUAGCAUAGAGGUUAGUACUAGGGUUUCAUCAAUUAUCCAAAACCAAACUAGGUCUUUCACAAAUUCUCCAGAUGGUAACUUGAGAAACUUUUUGGUCGGAACUAACAGUUCCUCACCUAGGAGUGUUGAUGCUAAAUUCUUGGACAUUACAGAUGCUCCUACGGCGGUGUCAUAAAGAGAAUACACGGGAGUCCUGCUUAUGAGACAAUGAAUGGUUGUGAAACAAGAGAGAACCUUGAUAACAUCAAACGACACUUCUGACUCCUUUAGCCAUUCACUGCUCAUAACGGCCAUGAGUUCCUGAUUAGUUGCUUUGAGGUAACAAGCCUCUAAGCGAGAAGAUACUUGCUUUUUUGGAGCAUUGUGGUUUCUCUUUUGCAUAGGCUGUUUCGCGACGUUGCCAUAAUCAGUGAAAAGAUCCAUCUCAAUGUUAAGAGGAUACUCCAAGGGAUGAAUCACUUCUUCCCUUGGAGGUGUUUGGGAUUGUGGUUCAGGCUCGACAGCUUGUGAUGUGGCUACUAUAGCGUCGGCUGACGAGGUCUCGUCCCUUGGGGCUUGGUCUUCCUCAGGGGCAUCACUAUGGUCAUCAAUGUAGGGGGUGUUGUCUAGUAUGGUUGCUAGGACCACCCUACCUUCACUAAUGGGUAAAUGAAGGAAUGCUCCCUUCGAGGCUAGAUCAAGGAAUUGUGCGGAACUUUGCCUAAGACCGAGAUAGAAAUGCUGCAUUAGCGUUGGCUCAGUUAUGGUGGCUCAGUUAUGGCUAAGUAUAGGCAUGAGGAUGCUAAGUCUGUGAUUCGCGCCCAAGCCGCACGUAGAGAUUCCUUCUCUUCUUGCUUGAAGUUUAGGAUCUCUCUACAGAGACGAGCCACACAAGAAAUGGGGAAGUAGGUAAGACAAAACUUGGCUUGUCGCUUCUCCCAUUCUCCGUCUACACUACCUACAUAGCAAGAGUACCACCGUCUGGCUUUUCCUGUCAAAGAGAACAGGAAGAGCUUCCACUUAAGGGUAACUCGCCUCAUCCCUUGGAUGUGAAUGCAUGAGCAAAGCUACUCGAAAUCACAUAGGUGGGUAUAGGGAUUUUGAUCUCCUUCUCCUGAAAAGGGAUUCUCCUGAACCAUCGCUAUGAGACUGGGGCAAAGCUCAUAACGAACGGCAAAAAUGGCCUGAGAAGAACUAGGCGACUCAAGCUCAGCGCCCGAUGGAGCAGCGUAGUCAAAGAGGGUUGUUUGAUCCAUGGGAUAGGUAAAGGUUCUAAUCAAACAAGGAUAACUUGACAACUUUGAGUCUAGUUGACCAGCUACCGUUCCUCGGCAACGGCGCUAGAAAUGCUUGUUGACUCUUCUUAGCGUCACUACCUAGGAUUGUCACUCCUUGGCACAUUACUAGAAAUGCUUGUGUGACACCAGAAGUGGCAAAUGGUUUUACUGCAAGCGGACGGUGGUCAAUGUAGCACUUCACCAGGACUAUUCCAGGUAUCGUAUUUUCCACAGGGAACAAGAAGUGGACUAACUAGACCAAUUGAGUCGUUGGAUGAUGAUCAAAGGGCUUAGGAUUGGGUGGAGAGGUAUUUCUAGUAUUUGGCUUCUGGCUAAGCUAUCCUAAGUAUAUUGAGAAUUAACUCCCUUCCUACUGUGGCCGAUAGGUGAAAAGGGUGUGGCGAAACACUUCCCUAGGCAGCUACCAUGUAGGCCAACUAUUAUUUGCAACUUGCCUAACAACACACUGCAAAGCUUCCUAGGUAGGCGAGCUUGCCGGAGUGAGCUCGGCAAUGGCGAUGCCGCUGCUGCUGCGCUUUCAGCGAGAGAGGCGAGGAAGAGAAUGAGCGUGGCCGGGAGCUCAAGGACGGCGCCGUGGAGGUCAUGCACACACGGUGAGCUGACGAGCAGGCCCAGGGACAGCGUAUGGGCGCCAAAUGUCAGCCAGGUGUUAUCGUCGGUCGGCCACCUCCCCUGACUGAAGCUCGCCAUCAGAGCUUCGAUCAAUGACUGACAGAGCUAAUUUGACAACGAUUAUCUCCCAAACCAAAGUGAAUUAAGAGAUGGUGCAGUUGACAAACUUAGAGUAUUAGCCGAGGUCUACAACUUUGUCAACAUCUGCAAGAGCUAAAUCUGUCUGGGUGAAGAGAUACAAGGUUCCCAAAAUCCUUUGAGCAAACUUCGUUGCCAGGAAGACAGAAAAUUUCUAAGUGUUGAAACAGCCCCCAAAUUUGCCUUAUCGGACAUUUUUCAGCAAGUUGUGAUCAUUUUCAUGAGAUGGACCUAAAACAACUUUUGUUCAUUAGAAAAUUUGAGACAACUUUGAUCUAGAAAGUUUUGACAUGCAAACAUUUUAUGAAACACUUUUUAAAAUCCUAAGCAAAAGAGGUCUAUAGUUCACCCUAUGUGAAACUAUGACUUAAGAGCAUAAUUAGAGCAAGUGACCAACAUGAAGAUUGAUCCUUAGGGCAAGACAAACAUAGAUAAACUAAUUACCAAGGUUGUAAUCACACCCUAGCAUAAGUGAAAGGUCGUAAUAUGGCUAGAGGCGGUGAAUAGCCUAUUUAAAAAUCUACAAAGCACUGGAGCAACGGAUUAAUAUAACAAAAGGCGUAAAGGAAUUUUGCUCUAGCUCUACAAGAGUUGCAAGCCACCUAUCCAAUAAUUCUAGUUGUUAAGAUCACUAGGCACAAGCAAUGACUAUGUCACUGCUCUCUACUACUAGUAACAACUAGCUAAAACAAAGUAAAGAGAUGUGUGAUAAUUAUACUGAAGUGUAGAGAAUGAACCAAUCACAAUGUGUACCAAAAUAUUCACAUGGAGAAUACAAAUCACAAUAUUUGCACCAAUAUUUUUCUCCCAAGGUUCACAUGCUUGCCGACACGCUAGUCCCUGUUGUGUCGACCAACGCUUGGUGGUUCAGCGGCUAAUAGGUGUUUCACAAACCUAGCCCAACAAAUGGGCACCACAAGAACCUCCCCGCAAGUGAGGUAGCUCAAUGACACGAGCAAUCCACUAGAGUGGCUUUUGGCACUCUACUGGGGAAUAAGCCCAAGAACCCCUCACAGUUAAAUCCUUGAUUGGGGCGGACACAAUCACCAAAUCCCCUCACCAAUCAACAAAUCCACAACCGUCUAGGUGACGGCAAUCACUAAGGGUAAUAAGAAAUCAACGAUUGCAAUCACAACCUAGUGCCACAAAUAUGAAUCACAAAUGCAUGAACACUAUGGUUUCCUCAACUCCUCUCACCAAAGAGAACCAACCAUGGGAAUGGAGAGGAGAAGGAGGAGAUCCUCUUGGAGCUCUCAAACCGAUCUCUUGAGCUUGCUCUCUCACUUGAAUGGAGCACAAAUCCUUGGGAGUGAGAGAGGAGGAGAGAGCUUUUCUUAGGGUUCUUCAAGAGAGCAAGAAUGGGAAAUAGAUUGAGGAGGAAGAAAGGAAGGGGUAAGACCCAACCUUAUCCUUAGCCAGCCACUCAUCCGACUGUUGUAGCAGCCCAAUCUCGCGAGAAAUUCUAGUGCGGGUAGGAAAUAAUUCCAGGCGCACACACUUUUGACCGUUGGUGUGGGUGAACUCCAGUACUGAAAAGUUUCCAGUGCGGGGCAACUAAAUUUCUAGCCAAAACUCUCUGUUGCAUGCACAAGACCAUUGGGCGCAAGUAGAUCUGAGCUCAACCGAAAUUUCUAGGUAGGUUCUGAAAAUAUCCAGGUAGAGCAAGGAAAAUUCCGAUCGACCCCUCUCUAUUGCAAGCACAGACACUAGAAUAUCCAUUAGGGUAGUGAAUAACUCUGGUCGACCCCUUGCUAUUUGGGCAUGACUACUAACUUGUUUUUCAACUAAAACCCCCCAUUUCAAGGUGCUAACUCUCCCAUGAAGUACAAAAACAAUUGAGCACUUAGGUUAGCAUUUUCACAAAUAAUGUUUAGGGCUUUCUCAAAUAUUCUCACCACGUCACUAAGCACAACAAAUGUAUGCAAGAGAGACGCACACUUAGUGGCACUAGAUAACCAUUGCAAUUAAAGAUUUCCCCUCUUUAUAGUACGGUUAUCUAUUCUAAAUCCAGUCACACCCUCGGUGUCUUCAGUGGCAAAACAAAAUGGUCCUAUUAAAAAUACCUUUGCCUUGAGCCCAUUUUGUUUUUCUCUUCCUUCUUUUCCAAGUUGGAGCACAUGAAUAUCAUCUUUUGGUCACCUCCAUCACCAUGACCAUGAUCUAGCUCCAUCACUUGUUGUGUACCAACCUAUCUUUGUAUUUCACUCAUGACAAAGGUUAGUACACAAAGGUUUCAUAAAUUAUCCAAAGCCAAACUAGGGCUUUCAAUCUCCCCCUUUUUGGUAAUUGAUGACAACCUUUUCACAAAGAUAUUCAAUAAAAUCUUUUUGGAUUCAUGUUGCUUGCCCAAGCAUUUUACCAUGUGUAAAGGGUAUGGACGAGUUUCAUAAACUUGAAUUGUUAGCAUUGGCUCCCCCUACAUAUGUGCUAAGAGUUUGGAUUUGAAAGCUUGCACAUAUGCUUAGAUAGGAAACAUAGGAGACACUGACUACCAAAUGAUGCUAAGGUGUAAAGAAUGGACCUUUGAAGCGUGAUACCAAUCGGAGUUGCCAUUUAAACACCAUCCUUAGCACCAUGGUUUGUUAGAUAGCACUUGCAAACAUAAACACUAGAUACCUCAUGAGAUCAACAUUAUAAACAAGGAUCUAGUUCCACUUGUAAAAACAAAGCAUGCAAGGAACAUCUAACUAUCAUCCUAUGAAUGCUAGUAUUUUAUUUUAUCAAACAAUUUUACAACUAGCAUACACCACACAAGUAUUGAAAAAAUUUGUGUUAUGCAAGCAAGCAUAUGUAAUGCACAUCCAAAUGCAACAUACAAGUUUAUGAGCUUGCUCCCCCUACUUGUGUGCUUCAAAAUAAUUUGAUCCCCUUCUUUUAGCAAAACCUAUCUUUGUGAAUUACUUCUCCCCCUUUGUCAUCAAUGACCACAAAAGGUGAGCUCAAAUUUUAGAUAGGUUGUGUAAAACCGUGUUAUGUGAGGAUCAUUUUCCCAAAAAAUUGGUUCAAACUAUUUUACUUGCCUAAGAUGUUUAACUCGGUUUGAUCCAAUGACAAGCUUUUUCACACCUCAUUUCAAGGCUUAUCUUGACAGUGUUGAGUUAAACACUCAUAGAUCAUUUUAUAGAUCAAACACUAGGAUUGCAAGCCCACAAACAUGUCAUAUGCUACCACUAGAUUAUUUCAAACGUAGAAGCAAUAGUGGUAACAUACAAGCAUCAAAUUCAUUUUUAUUUUCAUGAAUGAGCCUAGUGUUGACGGUUCUUAAGUAUCAAUUUUAAUUAUCAAAUAAACAAGAGAAUGGACCAAUAUGCAACCAUCACCUAGAAUUAGGGUUUGAUCUGACAGAAUUCCAUGAGUUUUGUUGUUUAUCUAUUUCUGCAGGGGGUUAUCAGGAAAUAAGGAAGAAAGGCCCACAUGUCGGGAUUACAUAGAGAUAUCAACGCACCGCGCAAUUUUACUUCAUCUAGAAGACUCCAGAAGCCACGAGACCGAAGCGGAGGCAAAACUGGGCCAGGCCCAGGGCGCCCGCCCUGGAAGCCUAGGCGCCCGCCCCCCUGCUGGAGCCAAAUCAGGACUCUUUCGCUCGGGAUAUUCCACCGACCAAAUGGAUCAAGAAAAACAUAGUACCACCUCGCCUAUCGACCCAAAAACGCAUAGAAGGGGAGGACUAUAUAAGCAAGGCCCCCCUGGCCCCUGGAGAAGACAUGAAGAAAUUAUCAUAGAGACUGAGGGGUGCCCUCGAAGGAAAACCUCUUCUCUAAUUAAUAUUUCUUUUUAUGCUUAGCAAUCAAUGUAAGGUAGAAAUAGAUCUUCUAGUUUCUACUAGAUUGAGAGAGAUAGAGUGGAGGUGUAGAGUGGAGGAUGCCCGGCCUGUCGGUGUCUACUCCAAGCUUGUACCUGCGGGAUCAAGUUCUCCUAACCCGAAGCUUGAUCCUAGGAUUCUUCAGUAAUUCGACUUCUAAAUUCUAGUAAGUUCUUGUUUUAUUGUUCUUAUGGUUUAUGAGUUUACUUUAAUCUCUUCGCGUAGGGUUUAGAGUAAUCAUUGCUGGCGUAAACGUGGUGUUUAGGCUGGGGUACUCAUAAAUAUUCCCUGACUAGCUGGACCGUGGUAGUAGUGAGGAACGUGACAAUUCCGAGCUACCUUUGUAGAUCACAUCUCGUUAGCAGGAAGGAUAGGGUUUAUAGGUGCGGGUUGAACAUCCUUUGUGGUGUCUAGAUUCCGUUAGCCUCCCCAUUAGAACAGUAGAUCAUCCUUACCAAGGUUAGAAGGAGACUACGGUUGCAGUCUUCUCUAUUUAUCACUCACAUCGAAAGACAUUCUUUGUGCCUAAAGGUUAGUAGUAAUAGACCGGUUAGUCAGAUGCACUCUUUCUCCUAGUGGUAAAAAAAUAAAUAUGAUACUCUGGAUAAUUUCCCGGGUGAAGUGCUCACCGAUAUCCGUGCGCUUGCGGAUCAAUUCCUUAUUGCGUUCCCAAAUAUCAACAAGCAUUUCUGGCGCCGUUGCCGGGGAGAAAGACGGUUGCUGAGAUAACCUGUGUCUUGCUAUUAGCUUGUAUCGAUACUUUUAUCUUUUCUUAUCUUUUAUAUCCUUUAUUUAUUUUCUUUACUCUUACCCUAUGGAAAACCAAAAUUCUAAAUCGAUCCAUGAGUCUGCAAUCCCUUUAGCAACUGACCUUUUACCAUGGGAAUCAUCACAGCCUAUCCAAACAUCCCAGUAUAAGUUAAGUUCUAGGUUGAUUGCCAUGAUUCAAAACCUAUCUUUUUUGGGAAAGGAAGACGAAAACCCUUACCUUCAUAUUAGAGAUUUUGAGCAAACAUGUGAUUGUCUUCGCAUUGAAGGCAUUUCUGAUAAGACUUUACAUUGGAAGCUUUUUCCUUUUUCCUUAAGGGGAGAAGCUAGACAAUGGUACAGUUAGAAGGUAAGUCAACAACAAGGUGAAUGGGGAGUUUUACGAGCCAACUUUUGUCUAGAUUUCUAUUCCCUUGACCGUAUAGGUGACCUUAGACUCGAAGUCCUAUCUUUUAAACAAAAAGAUAAUGAAACUUUGGGAAAAUCCUGGAAACGUUUUUCUGAUCUUUUAGAAUCUGGUCCAAACCUUAAUCUUGAAGACCCUGUUCUUUUAUUUCACUAUUUUCGAGGUCUUCAUAAAAAUCACAAACAAAUGCUACACACAAUGUCUAGAGGUUCUUUCUUUCGCAUCCCUGCUGAUGAAGCUAGAGUGAUCCUAGAUAGAAUCCUAGAAGCUGAGAUGGAUAAUACCCUUCAUGAUGAAACCUACGAAGCCGAAGUAGACACUCUGCCAAAUUCUUCAUCUACUUUAGCUAUCCCAAGUUUUGAGCCACAAGAGGAAGAAAUUCCACUACCGGACUUCAUGCUGGAUAUAGAAUCCGAUCUUUUUGCCGAUUUUGGAAAUAUUUCAAACUACCAUUCGAUUGACAAACCCCAAAACGGCCAGUUUAGCAUUUAUUUACCAAGUGAAUAUCAAUUGAGAGAGCUUAUCUCAGUAAUGAGUAGCGAAUGGUUGGAGGAAUCAGAGCUUUCCUCUGAUGUGAUCCGUUUGGACACACCCUCUAUAACUAUACGUUGUGCUUAUAAUUCUGAUCGAUUUAAUGCUCUUUAUAAUCCUGUUGUGGGGAUCAACAUCAUGUCUGAAUCUUUUGCACUUAAACUAUUUAAAAAUCUUGUCUUAACCCCCACAACAAAGAUCAUAAAGGAAUCUUCGGGACGAUUAAUCCCCAGUCUUGGAAUUAUUAAUGUCCUACCUCUUACGGUAGAAGGCUCCAUGGUUCAUUUGAACUUCUAUAUCUUUGAUACAUGGGACUUCGACCUGUUAAUAGGACAACCUUUUAGAAGACUCCUUUAUGAAGGUCAUACUAGAAAGCUACACAUUUCUUUUGGAAAAACUUUUCAAUUCCCAAUGAUAAUUUCACACUCCUUAAAUAAUAAGGCCGAGUCAUAUCUUUUGCCUGAUCCUAUGGAGGAAGUAAAGGCUGCAUCUCUAGAGCUUUUAGAUGAAUCAGACUUAGAAGACGAAACUCCUUUAUUCACAGAAGAAGAAGACGAACCUUCUGAGCCUGAACCCUUAGACGAGUUUGCAGAAACACCUAGACCCCCCAUAGAACUUAAAACUUUACCACCCGGUCUUACCUAUGCUUUCCUAAACAAUAAUCCAGAGUUCCCUGUGAUCAUUAGCGAUAAACUCACUCAGGAUCAAACUCUGCGAUUAAUGACCAUUCUUGAGAAACAUCACUCAGUAUUCGGCUACUCACUUCAAGAUCUUACAGGAAUCAGUCCUAUGAUUUGUACCCAUCGUAUUCCAACAGAUCCUUCUGUUACACCCUCUCGAGAACCCCAACGUAGACUUAACAACACUAUGAGAGAGGUAGUUAAAAAGGAAGUUAUAAAGUUGCUGCAUGCAGGGAUUAUAUAUCCUGUGCCGCACAGUGAGUGGGUGAGCCCAGUCCAAGUUGUGCCCAAAAAGGGAGGCAUGACAGUUAUUAUGAAUGAAAAGAACGAGCUAAUUCCGCAACGCACCGUCACAGGAUGGCGGAUGUGCAUAGACUAUAGAAAACUAAACAAAGUCACGAGAAAAGAUCACUUUCCUUUACCUUUUAUAGAUGAGAUGCUAGAGCGGUUAGCAAACCAUUCAUUCUUCUGUUUCUUAGAUGGAUAUUCAGGGUAUCAUCAAAUCCCGAUCCAUCCUGAUGAUCAAAGCAAAACCACUUUUACAUGCCCUUAUGGAACUUAUGCUUACCGUAGAAUGUCUUUUGGGUUAUGUAAUGCACCAGCUUCUUUUCAAAGAUGCAUGAUGUCUAUAUUUUCUGAUAUGAUUGAAGAGAUUAUGGAAGUUUUCAUGGAUGAUUUCUCUGUUUAUGGAAAAACCUUUGAUAGUUGUCUUGAAAACUUAGACAAGGUUUUGCAAAGAUGUGAAGAAAAGCACUUAAUCCAUAAUUGGGAAAAAUGUCAUUUUAUGGUUAGGGAAGGAAUAGUGCUAGGACACUUAGUGUCUGAAAGGGGGAUUGAGGUAGACAAAGCUAAAAUUGAAGUAAUUGAACAACUACCUCCACAUGUGAAUAUAAAAGGAAUUCGAAGCUUUCUUGGCCAUGCUGGUUUUUAUCGUAGAUUCAUAAAAGAUUUUUCAUAUAUUGCUAGACCACUUACUCUUUUGCUAUCCAAGGAUGCUCCUUUCGAAUUUGAUGAUGCAUGUUUAACAUCUUUCAAUUUAUUAAAGAAAGCACUCAUCUCUGCACCAAUCAUUCAACCCCCUGAUUGGUCGUUGCCUUUUGAAAUUAUGUGUGAUGCUAGUGAUUAUGCUGUGGGGGCAGUAUUGGGACAAACUAAAGAUAAGAAGCAUCAUGCAAUUGCUUAUGCCAGUAAAACUUUGACAGGAGCUCAACUUAAUUAUGCAACCACUGAAAAAGAGCUUCUGGCUGUUGUCUUUGCCAUUGAUAAAUUUAGAUCUUAUUUAGUUGGAGCUAAAAUAAUUGUUUACACUGAUCAUGCUGCACUAAAAUAUUUGCUCACUAAAAAAGAUGCUAAACCUCGCCUGAUUAGAUGGAUUUUAUUACUCCCAGAAUUUGACUUAGAAAUAAAAGAUAAAAAAGGAGUAGAAAAUUCUGUUGCUGAUCACUUGUCUAGAAUGUAUUUUAAGAGUCCACAGGAAACCCCCAUCAAUGAUUCACUCCGGGACGACAUGCUCUACGGGAUUAACAGGUCUGACCCCUGGUAUGCAGAUAUUGUUAAUUUUAUGGUUUCAGGGUAUGUACCACCAGGAGCAAACAAGAAGAAGCUUAUUCAAGAAAGUCGUUCACAUAUAUGGGACGAGCCAUACCUCUUCCGAGUAUGCUCUGAUGGCUUACUCAGGAGAUGUGUGACCACUGAGGAAGGAUGGAAGAUCAUCGACAGAUGUCAUUCAUCACCAUAUGGAGGUCACUAUGGAGCAUUCCGUACACAUUCAAAGAUCUGGCAGUGUAGAUUCUAUUGGCCUACAAUGUAUGAAGACACGAAGCAAUAUAUCAGAAGAUGUGGGCCAUGUCAAAGGCACGGAAACAUAAAUACAAGGGAUGCAAUGCCACUCACCAACAACCUUCAUAUUGAGCUCUUUGAUGUCUGGGGAAUAGACUACAUGGGUCCAUUUCCUCCAUCAAAGAAGUGUGAGUACAUCUUGGUGGCGGUUGACUAUGUCUCCAAGUGGGUAGAAGCAUUACCUUGCAAGCAUGCCGACAACGUCAGUUCAAAGAGGAUGUUUGAAGAAAUUAUAUUUCCAAGAUUUGGAGUACCCAGAGUAGUGAUAAGUGAUGGAGGAGCACACUUCAUCGACAAACGCUUCAAGCAAUAUCUAUCAAGACAUGGAAUCCGUCACAACGUCGCUACCCCUUAUCAUCCUCAGACAAGUGGCCAAGCAGAGACUUCCAACAAACAAAUCAAGAAUAUUCUUCAGAAGACAGUAAAUGAAAUGGGAACGGCGUGGAAAGACAAGUUACCCGAUGCACUCUGGGCAUACCGGACAGCAUACAAGACCCCAAUUGGAAUGUCUCCAUACCAAUUGGUGUACGGGAAGACUUGCCAUCUACCUGUUGAACUGGAAUUCAAAGCACACUGGGCCAUAAAGAGAUGGAAUAUGGACCUAGAUGUUGCUGGAGAUUAUAGAAGAAUGCAAUUAUCAGAAUUGGAAGAAUGGCGAGAGAAGGCAUAUCACAAUUCAAAGAUCUACAAAGAAAGAGUCAAGAGGUGGCAUGACAAGAGAAUCAAGAAGAAGGAGUUCACACCCGGAGAUAAGGUAUUACUUUUUAAUUCCAGGGUGAAGCUUUUCGGGCAUGGAAAACUCCGGAGCAAAUGGGAAGGACCAUUCAAGGUAAUCAAUUCAUCAUCCCACGGAGCUAUCACACUUCAAAACAGCGAAGGUACGUUAUUCAAGGUAAAUGGUCAACGUCUUAAAUUAUUUUUAGAGCCCAAUGAGGAAUUUGAAGAAAUAGACGUAGUCCAUUUUUACCUUCCCAUGGAGAAUUAGAGCCCGACACUUUUGGUCUGAUGGUUUUGGGUCAUAUAUAUAUUUUUCUAAAUAAUUUCGCAUCUAGAAACGCGCUCGGAGAAGUGGGCCCACAGAGGAGCCAGAGAGAGGGCGGGCGCCCAGGUCAAGUGGGCGGGCGCCCAGCCCCUGUUCCCCCUCGGUCCCGACUUUCUCUGUUAUGGAAAAUGCACUUAGGGUGAUCCGAAUAAUCCCUCGGAUGGAAAGUUUCGCACGCACAUCGACGGGAGCAACCCGAACAACCCAUAGAGGCAUCCUUUUGACCCCUAUAUAAAUAGACCCCUAACCUCAGUUUUCAAACACCAAGCCACCAAGCUUUCUCUCCUUCAAUUAGAGCUUGAUUAGCUCUCCUUUAAUUAGAGCUUAAUUAGCUCUACUUCAAUUAAAAUUUUAUUAGUUCCUUGCUACUCCAAUGGCCGACAAGUACCACGACGAUUGGGAAGUCGUCCCCUUCAACCUCAACAUGGAGCCAGUGGAAGACCCCGAUGCCCGUGCUCUCGUCCCGGCCAACACAGAGCAUCAGCUAGAAGCCAUGCCAUUACGUCAACGCAGCUCCGCCCAAUCUUACCAUGCUCAACCAGUUCUCACCGCACCACCACAACCCCUACUCCUCAAAGGACCAUCAUCCAAGACGAAGACCACUAUCAAGGUGCCAACCGGCACUAGGAUCCUUCCACCUAGACCCAAUGAGAGGGUCGUUGGAGUCAAGACCAACCGAAGCGGCGAGAUCAGCAGCGUACGCUACACUAUGGAGGAGGAAAGACCUUACUUUGAAGGGAUUAGAACAGCCAAAGUCCGUUUCAUCCCUCCAAAGGCAGCCCCAAAGCAUGCUCUCAACGCUUUUGAGACACCUCCCAAGCGUCGCAAGACUAUAAUGGAUAUUGAUGAGGAAGUUCGCAGGCUAGAUAGAGUUAUCAUAGACCUCCAGUCCUCGAUCAACUCCCUCACUAGGCAGCUCUCUAACCACAACACCAUUAUACUAGGCCUUAGGCAGGAUCUUGCCAGUGCCAACAAGAAGAUCAAGGAAUUAGAGCGCCGCUAAGUUAUCUAGAUUAGACCUUGAGGCAAUACAUCUUACUCAUCUAUCUUUAAAUUCGGUUUAGGUUUGCUAUUAUCAUCAGUUUGUUAGCAGUUUGCUACUAGUCUUUUGUAAUAAAUGCCUCAAGAUUAAUAAAGAGUAUUACUAUUAUUAUUAUGUCUUGUGUGUCUCUACUUUAUUUUUGUGCAAGAAAGCAGAAAACAAGUAUGGGGGAGAUCCCUCAACAUGCCAAACACACUCCGACUACACCACUCCACGAUUCAGGUACACACUCUGCACACUUUACUUCAUACAUACAUUUAUUUUGAAUUAUGCAGAUUACUGUUUUCGACAUGAUAAAAUAAAAAGAUUAAAAUAUUUCUAAUCAUGAUUAAUCUCAAUCUGUGAUAUUUCCUGAAAACAUACAAUUAUUAUAAAAUCAUUUUAAAAUCCUGUAUUACUUAAGUCAAUAUGGAAUAUGUGAUGGUAGAGUAUGAGUUUCUUAUUCUUGAUAUCAUUGUUGCUUGGAGAAUUUAUUUCAAAAUAUUCAAAAUUCUAGCUACCAUCCUCAGUGUUUUAUAUACCUGAUAAAAAUAAAAAUAUUAAUUAUGAUUAUAAAAGCUAUCUACUCUGUAUUGAGUUUGUUCAAAAUGAGUUAGACCCUUGUUGAGAGAUUUAUCAUGCUCCCAAGAUCAAGACACUAUUUCAGUAAGAUUCACUCUUCCGAAGUAUUAUUGCAUUAGAGGCAUGGGCUAUGCAAAAAUAAAAAUAUUUCGAGGAAAUAAAAAGGAGCAAGUGCUCGACAACCUCGCAAAAAAAAAUGAACAAGUGUCCGGUAGAAGAAUUAGGGGUACCUCGGUAUCCACUUAAAAAAAAUGAUAGCCCAUGGUCCCUCUAAUAAGCAAUAUGCCAGCAAGAGUUGACAAAGUUUUUAAUUUUCAAAGUCUUUGAUCUAAGAGUAUGACAUUCCCCUCCUCGGAUCCCGUUUUGAUCAGGCAAUAAAUGCAAAGUAAGUAUGCUUGAGAAUUUUUGCAAAAUAAAACAGCCUCAGUGAGAUAUAUAUAAAAGAUAAUGAGUGAUCUGAGAGAACCUAUGAGGAUAAAAAGGUAUGCUAACUUUCUUUCAAAAAUAUACAAAAACUCCAAGUGACAGGAUCGAGAAGAAAGGAUCUUUACUCUUAAUCAUAAACUUCCCUGACUAUGGUACACAGUGGAAUUUUAACACCCUGCAAUUAUAUAAAGAGAAUGUUUUAAAUGUUUACCCCAGAUAUUGUUCUUAACCAUCCUUUUCUCGAGGACGAGUAAAAGCCUAAGUAUGGGGGUAUUUGUUGACGGUUCUUAAGUAUCAAUUUUAGUUAUCAAAUAAACAAGAGAAUGGACCAAUAUGCAACCAUCACCUAGAAUUAGGGUUUGAUCUGACAGAAUUCCACAAGUUUUGUUGUUUAUCUAUUUCUGCAGGGGGUUAUCAGGAAAUAAGGAAGAAAGGCCCACAUGUCGGGGUUACAUAGAGAUAUCAACGCACCGCGCAAUUUUACUUCAUCUAGAAGACUCCAGAAGCCACGAGACCGAAGCGGAGGCAAAACUGGGCCAGGCCCAGGGCGCCCGCCCUGGAAGCCUGGGCGCCCGCCCCCCUGCUGGAGCCAAAUCAGGACUCUUUCGCUCGGGAUAUUCCACCGACCUAUUGGAUCAAGAAAAACAUAGUACCACCUCGCCUAUCGACCCAAAAACGCAUAGAAGGGGAGGACUAUAUAAGCAAGGCCCCCCUGGCCCCUGGAGAAGACAUGAAGAAAUUAUCAUAGAGACUGAGGGGUGCCCUCGAAGGAAAACCUCUUCUCUAAUUAAUAUUUCUUUUUACGCUUAGCAAUCAAUGUAAGGUAGAAAUAGAUCUUCUAGUUUCUACUAGAUUGAGAGAGAUAGAGUGGAGGUGUAGAGUGGAGGAUGCACGGCCUGUCGGUGUCUACUCCAAGCUUGUACCUGCGGGAUCAAGUUCUCCUAACCCGAAGCUUGCUCCUAGGAUUCUUCAGUAAUUCGACUUCUAAAUUCUAGUAAGUUCUUGUUUUAUUGUUCUUAUGGUUUAUGAGUUUACUUUAAUCUCUUCGCGUAGAGUUUAGAGUAAUCAUUGCUGGCGUAAACGUGGUGUUUAGGCUGGGGUACUCAUAAAUAUUCCCUGACUAGCUGGACCGUGGUAGUAGUGAGGAACGUGACAAUUCCGAGCUACCUUUGUAGAUCACAUCUCGUUAGCAGGAAGGAUAGGGUUUAUAGGUGCGGGUUGAACAUCCUUUGUGGUGUCUAGAUUCCGUUAGCCUCCCCAUUAGAACAGUAGAUCAUCCUUACCAAGGUUAGAAGGAGACUACGGUUGCAGUCUUCUCUAUUUAUCACUCACAUCGAAAGACAUUCUUUGUGCCUAAAGGUUAGUAGUAAUAGACCGGUUAGUCAGAUGCACUCUUUCUCCUAGUGGUAAAAAAAUAAAUACGAUACUCUGGAUAAUUUCCCGGGUGAAGUGCUCACCGAUAUCUGUGCGCUUGCGGAUCAAUUCCUUAUUGCGUUCCCAAAUAUCAACACCUAGGACAUGUGAGGAAUGACUAGAUGCACUAAACAAGUCCUUAGCAAGGAUGGAUGACAUGUCAAUCAAUUUUACCUUGCUUUGCUCGAAGGCGAGGCAUGUGAUAUUAUGGGGGUGCAUCAACACAUAUUUGAGAAGUCAAGUAUGUUCAAUUCAUUCCUUAGCUUGCAAAACCUCUUCUCAUCAAGUGGCUUGUGAAUAUAUCGGCAAGUUGAUCAUUGGUACCUAUACUCUCAAUGCAAAUGUCCCCUUUUUGUUGAUGCUCUCUUAUGAAAUGAUGUUAGACAUCUAUGUGCUUUGUUCUUGAGUGUUGAACCAAAUUAUUGGUGAGUUUCAUAGCACUUUCAUUGUCACAUAGCAAUGGCACUUGUUUAACGUUGAUUCCAAAAUCCUUUAAUGUGGCCUUCAUCCAUAGAAUUUGUGCACAACAACUACCGGCGGGAAUGUACUCUACUUCAGCGGUUGAUAGUUCUACACUAUUUUGCUUCUUGGAUGACCAUGAGACAAGUGAUCUUCCCAAUAGUUGACAUGUGCCCGAUGUGCUUCUUCUUUCAACUUUGCAUCCCGCAUAGUCUGUAUCGAAAUAUCCAAUAAGUUCAAACUUUGCACCUUUGGGAUACCACAAACCAACAUUUUGUGUAUGCUUCAUGUACCUCAGUAUUCUCUUUGUUGCUUUCAAAUGACUCUCUCUUGGUGAGGCUUGGAAUCUUGCACACAUGCAUACACUAAACAUCACAUCCGGUCUUGAUGCGGCCACAUAUAGUAGGCAUCCAAUCAUAGACUGAUAUAACUUUUGAUCCAUCAUAUUUCCACUUGUAUCACUCUCUAGGCUUCCAUUUGUUCCCAUUGGAGUGCUAAUUGCCUUUGCAUCAUCCAUUCCAAACUUUUUGACAAUGUCUUUGAUGUACUUGCCUUGACUCACAAAUGUGCCAUUCUUCAAUUGUUUGAUUUGAAGACCAAGGAAGUAACUAAGCUCUCCAAUCAUGGACAUCUCAAAUUCAUUUGCCAUCAUCUUUACAAACUCUUCACAAAAUUCUUGAUUGGUUGAACCAAAUAUAAUGUCAUCAACAUAAAUUUGCAACACAAACAAGUUUUUGCCUAUCUUUUUAGUGAAGAGGGUGGUGUCAACCUUACCCAUAAUGAAUCCUUUAGAGAGUAAGAAAUCCCUUAAUCUCUCAUACCAUGCUCUAGGUGCUUGCUUCAAACCAUACAAGGCUUUCUUGAACUUGUAAACAUGGUUGGGCUUCUUGUUUGUUUUCAAAACUGGGAGGUUGCUCAACAAACCAACUCAUUUAUAUACCCAUUCAAGAAUGCUCUCUUCACAUCCAUUUUUGAUACAACUUGACGUUGUGAGCACAAGGAUAGGCUAACAAGAUCCUAAUUGCUUCCAAUCUAGCAACCAAGGCAUAUGUUUCACCAAAGUCAAGACCUUCAAUUUGUGUGUAUCCUUGUGCUACCAAUCUUACUUGGUUCCUUAUCACUAUCCCAUCUUGAUCUUGUUUGUUUUGAAACACCCAUUUGGUUCCAAUCAUAUUAUGAUCCUUAGGCCCCUCUAAUAAUUCCUAUACUUGAUUUCUAGUAAAAUUGUUUAGCUCUUCAUGCAUAACAUUUACCCAAUCAACAUCUCUCAAAGCUUCUUCUAUGUUCUUUGCUUCAAUGGAUGAUACAAAUGAGAAAUGUUCACAUGAUGAUACCAAUCUUGAUCUAGUUUGCACACCUCUAAAUAUAUCACCAAUAAUAUGAUCCAACGAAUGAUCUCUUGCAAUGUUAGUUGGCUGGAGUAUUCGAACUUGAUUGCUUGCACUUGGUUGGGCAUUUGGUUGAGAUGAUGAAUGUUGACACUUCCUAACACCACUUGAAUACUAGGUUGUCAUCCCCAGCAUGGCACUAGAGUGUACUAUGGUAUUUAUACGCACACAGAUAAAUCCGCAAGCGCACGGAUACUGUUGUAGCUUUUACCCGAUUAAAGGUUUUAUCGUAUCCACAGGAAAAUGGGAGAACCAACUACGCUCUAACUUAACCAAGAUAGAUAGAUAGGUGUAAAUAAGAAAGAUGGUAGAAUUGAAUAAGAACAAUAUUAAAGGUAAGAUAACAAUGGGUGUUAAUACGGAAAUAGAGAGUAGAGCAAUCUAAUAUAUAGGCGAUAAUAGGAGAAUAGAGAGCAUAACUAGGGUUUCUCUACUUCAAAGGGGUAUGUCUGUCUGUGGUGUACCAUAAGUAUAAAACAACACAGAGGAUGCUUAUACCUAAGGUCGAGGACUCCUACACUACUACAGAACAGGCCUUUGGUCACUUGCCCAAAAUGAACAAUAAUCUCGGCCCAAACAGCGUCCGGGACAAAAACAUAUUUAGUCCCGGUUGUUGAGACCAACCGGGACUAAAAGUCCCCUGCCCAACGGCUAUUGUGUCAGACAUCGGCAGAGGGGACCUUUAGUCCCGGUUGGUCUCACCAACCGGGACAAAAGCCUAGCCUUUAAUCCCGGUUGGUACCACCAACCGGGAUUAAAAGCUGUUGUCCCGGUCCGUCCCACCGGCCGGGACUAGUGUUGGAAUUUAGACCUGGUUUUUAAAAGGAACUGGGACUAAAUGUCCCUCCUCAUAUUUGAACUCUUCUUCCCCUGGUCGAGCCCAUCGGUCUUUACUCUUUUGCUGUGUUCUUCAUUUGGAGUUGCUUGUUCUUGGUCUCAUCUCCGGCUAUUGAUUCAUUUCAUUGUUUCUACACCGUCAUCGACUUGUUAAGAGGUCACUAGCUUCAUCUUCUCAACAUUUAGAAGCGGCAUAUGUCAUUUCCUAGUGUUAUGUAUAUUGUUUUUUAUUUUAUUGUUUUUUUAAGGGGUUAUUAGCUUCAUCGCCAUUUCAAAAGCGACGCGUUUUUUUAGAGAAAUAGUGAUAAUAUGUUUUUUUAUUUUAAUUAGUUUAGAAAAAAAUUAAAAACAUAUAAUACUUUAAUUUGCAAUUUUUGACCGAUUUAGUUAGUUAAUUAUAACUAGUAUGCAUACCACAUUUCAUGAUUAUUUAGGAAAAUAGAGAAUUUUUGUGCUUUUUUAAUUUUGCUUGUUUAGAAAAAUUAGAAAUAGAGAAUUUUAGGUUUUUUGUUACUUUAAUUUCUCUAUUAAAAAUUAGAAACUUAUAAUACUUUAAUUUGCAAUUUAUGACAAGGUUAAUUAGUUAAUUAUAACUAGUAUGCAUACCACAUUUCAUGAUUAGUUAGAAACAUAGAUAACUUUUGUGCUUUUUUAAUUUUGGUUGUUUAGAAAAAUUAGAAAUAGAGAAUUUUAGGUUUUUUUUACUUUAAUUUCUCUAUUAAAAAUUGGAAACUUAUAUUUCUUUAAUUUGCACUUUAUGACAUGGUUAAUUAGUUAAUUAUAACUAGUAUGCAUGCCACAUUUCAUGAUUAGUUAAAAAAUAGAGAACUUUUAUGUCUUUUUAAUUUUGUUGGUUUAGAAAAACUAGAAAUAGAGAAUUUUAGGUUAUUUGUUACUUUAAUUUCUUUAUAAAAAAUUAGAAACUUAUAAUACUUUACGUUGCAAUGCAGACAAUGACACGUCAUUGGAUGUACAAUGCCGAUCGCAGCUCCAAAGAAUUCAUUGAUGGUGUGCAUUAUUUCUUAAGAGUGGCCGAGGAAAACAAGCGGAAUGGAUUCAUAUGUUGCCCAUGUGCCUGGUAUCAGAAUUUGAAGGAAUAUUCUAGCUCUAGAAAUAUUCACUCACAUUUGUUGAAGUCGGGUUUUAUGGCAAACUAUAUUUAUUGGACCAAGCAUGGAGAAAACGGGAUAAUGAUGGAAGAAGGUGAAGAAGAACAGUUGGAGCCUGACGACAUUAUUGUUCAAUACGGUGACUUCGGUGAUAUAGCAACGGGAGAAGCUAAAGAUGAGGCAGGUGCAGAAGGCGCACCUGUUGAAGAUGAUGCUCUUGGUGAUGUCAUUCGUGAUGCACAAAAAUAUUGCGAAAGUGAAAAAGAGAAGACAAAGUUUGACCACAUGUUAGAAGAUCAUAAGAAAUUACUAUACCCAUUUGCCCAGGAUGGGCAAAAAAACUAGGUACAACACUAGAAUUGUUAAAAUAAAAGGCACAGAAUGGUGUAUCCGAUAAGGCAUUUGGGCAAUUACUGAAGAUCCAAAAAAAUGCUGCCAAAGCCUAAUGAACUGCCCACUACUACGUACGAAGCAAAACAGAUCGUCUGUCCUUUGGGAUUAGAAAUCAAGAAGAUACAUGCAUGUCCUAACGACUGCAUCCUGUACCGUGGCAAGGACUAUGAGAAUUUAGAUGAAUGCCCCGUAUGUAAAGCAUCACGGUAUAAGAUCAGGCGAGAUGACCCUAGCGAUGUUGAGGGGGAAGAACGUCCCAGAAAAAAAAUCCCUGCAAAGGUUAUGUGGUAUGCUCCUAUAAUACCACAUCUGAAACGUCUUUUUAGAAAUAAGGACCAUGCAAAAUUGUUGCGGUGGCACAAAGAAGACCGUAAAGUAGACAACAUGUUGAGACACCCUGCUGAUGGGUCCCAGUGGAGAGCAAUAGAUAGGGAAUUUCCAGAGUUUGCAAAAGACGCAAGAAACUUAAGGUUCGCUUUAAGUACGGACGGUAUGAAUCCUUUUGGUGAGCAAAGCAGUAGUCAUAGCACUUGUCCUGUUACACUAUGUAUCUACAACCUUCCUCCAUGGUUGUCCAUAAAGCAAAAGUUCAUUAUGAUGCUGGUGCUCAUACAAGGCCCGAAGCAACCGGGCAAUGACAUUGAUGUCUAUCUGUAAGGUCCUGAUGGCUAGAGGGGGGGUGAAUAGCCUAUUUAAAAUUCUACAAUCUUCAACUAGACAAGUUGAUUAGUAAAACAAAAGGCGAAGCUAUUCUAGCACUAGCACAACUAAGCUAUGCAAGCCACCUAAACAAGUCUAGCAAGAAAGCUAAACACUAGUUACAACAAGAAGGCUAAGCUGAACAAGCUACACAACUAGCAAGGUAUACACAAAGGUAAAGGAGAGGGGAGUGAUUGUUAUACCGACGUUGUAGAGUAGAAAUAUAUCCAAUCAAUCACGUGCACAAACACAAGAGAAACCUCGGCAAGAGAUGACACAAGAUUUUUUACCGAGGUUCACUUGCUUCCCGGCAAGCUACUCCUCGUUGUGGCGAUACACCCACUUGAUGGAUCACGAGCUAAUUGGCAAUCCAAAGCCAAACCCUCAGCGCGUGCCGCACAUCCACUCACAAGAUGGGGAUCCUCCAAGCCACGAGUAAUCCACUAGAGUAGCCAAUUGCGAUCUCCCGUGGGGAAGGCUCAAGAACCCCUCACAAGUCACUUGGUGAGGCUCGAAACAAUCUCCAAUCACGAGCUCAACACCACCGCUGCUCCAAGCCGUCUAGGGCGUCGGGAAACACCCAAGAGUUACAAGAAAUCCGCAGCAAACUCAAGAAUCAAGUGCCACUAAAUGCAACUCUCAAAGCAAUGCACUUGAAUCUCACUCAAUCUCACUGGGAUUAGCAAUCAAGCAAGGAGAUGAGUGGAGGGAGUAUUCUCUAGCUCAAUGUAUGUCUCAAGUAUUCAAGAGUGCAAGAGAGAGCCCCCCAAAGCCGGCCACCAACUAUUUAUAAGCCCCUCAAAGAAACUAGCCGUUGACCACUUUCACUAGGCUGAAAACGGGGGCACCGGACGCUACUAAGUGAGCACCGGACGCUCGACUCCCUGCGUCCGGUGCACUGGAGUUGGCCACGUGUCCUCUUUCAAACUCGCGUGUCAGAUCCUAACGGCUACCUGCAACACACCGGACGCUCUGCAAGUCCACACCGGACGGUCCGGUGCACACCGGACUCAUGCGCAGAGAGUUUGUCAAACUCGCAACCUCACCGGACGCUAGGCACCGGACGGUCCGGUGCUCACCGGACUCGUGCGCAGAGAGGGUUGCAAAAACCCCUCACACCGGACGCUAACCACCGGACGCUACCAGAGUGCGUCCGGUGCUCAACCCUAGCAGGGUCAAGCACACCGGACGCUGAGGCCAGCGUCCGGUGAGUGUUUCUCAGAGAGAAAACACUCCCGCGACUUCUCAAAAUUUCCCACCGGCGCAAUAGAAAAUAUACACUUAUUUUUCUCAAAAGCGCCGAAUCCCGCCUCGCAAGCUCGGCGAGAGGGAGAGAGGAACCCACACCCCUCUCAACCCUAGGAACUCCACCUCCUUUGAAAAAGUGCUAACACCAACAAGUGUCCACCACCAAAGUGCAUGUGUGUUAGCUUUUCACAAACAUUUUCACCAAAGGAGUUAAGUUAGCACUUUACUAGAUCCUAAUGCAUAUGCUUAAGAUAUGGACCUAGUAGCACUUGAUUAGAGAGAUGACCGUGAUUUCCCCUCUUGAUAGUCGGCUAUCUAUCCUAAACCCGGUCAAUCACUUCUCUACUCAUCUUAGACCGGCAAAUGUAAAACCCUAUGUUUAUACCUUUGCCUUGAUAACUUUGCUCCUCGUCUAUCAUCAUGAUCUCCACAUCAUGCUUCAUUUCUUUGUAAUCAUGUGGCCACCUUUCCAUGCCACCAUGCACCUUCAUCACAUGUGUUGCUAUGCCUAACUCAAAUCACUUAAACACAAGGCAUUAGCAACUUGGUGUCAUUAAUUACCAAAACCAAACUUGGGCUUUCAAUCUCCCCCUUUUUGGUAAUUGAUGACAACCAUCAUAAAGAUAUGAAAUGAAAUCAUAAUGAACUUGAAUUGCUUGUCCACAGCAUUUUAAUCAUGAGAGAAGAUUGGACAAACAUUUCAAUUUCGAUUUUGGUAGUACUAGCUCCCCCUACAUAAGUGCUUCCAUGAGUUUGGUUCAAGUUUGCACAUAUGCAUGAAUUAGAAUUUUGGGAGAUUUAUUACUACCAAAAUGAUGCUAAGGUAUAUAGAAUGGACCUUUGAAGCGUGAUACCAAUCGGAGUUGCCAAUAUACCAUCCUUAGCACCAAUGUAGCUAGACAUACAUCAAAAACUCAAGAUACCUCGUGAGAACACAUUAUAUGUCUAGAUACCACAUGAAAAUAAGACUCUAUGCUAGAAUUCAAAGCAUCAUUCAAGUUCUAUUUCUAGCAAACACCAAUCAAACAAGAGUAGUGAAUUUAAACUUGCAAGCAACACCUCAUUAUGUUAGUGCACAUUCAAAUGCAACAAAUGGUUCAUGAGCUUGCUCCCCCUAUUUGUGUGCUCAAGUUUUAAUUUAAUUUUCCAAAAGUUAUCUCUCCCCCUUAAGCACUUUUCUCCCCCUUUAUGACUUUAUCUUUGUUUCUCUCCCCCUUUGUCAUCAAUGACCACAAUGGUUCAAAUUGUAGUGAGAAUUAAGUCAAUCAAUGUGAGGGUCAAAUUAUGGUUCAAUCUAGAUCACUUGCCUAAAACAUAUAAUUCAGUUUGAUCCAAGUACAAGCUUUUUCACACCUCAUGAAGUAUAAGGGUUAUCUUGACCAUGUUGAAUUACACAUCAUAAGCUCAUAUUCUAGAUUCAACACUAGGCUCACAAGCUCACAAACAUGUCAUAUGCUACCACUAGAUCAAUCAAACAUAGAAGCAAUAGUGGUACCAUACAUACAUCAAAAUCUUUUGAUUUUCAUGAAUGAGCCUACUGUCAUGCAAGCAUGUCUAUAUGUUCUAAUCAUGUCCUUAGCAAAGCAUGAAUGCUAUGUCAACCAUCAUUACCUUGCUUUGUUGGAGGAGAGGCAUGUCUUAUAUAUAAAUGUGGGGGUGCACUCAUCUCAAGUUGGAGAAGUCAAGUAUGUUCAAUUCAUUCCUCAACUUGCAAAAUCUCUUCUCAUCAAGUGGCUUUGUGAAGAUGUCGGCUAGUUGAUCUUCGGUGCCAAUGCUUUCAAUGCUAAUAUCACCCUUUUGUUGAUGAUCUCUUAUGAAAUGGUGCCUUAUGUCAAUGUGCUUGGUUCUUGAAUGUUGAACUGGAUUUUGUGUCAUCUUGAUUGCACUCUCAUUGUCACAAAGCAAAGGCACAUUCUUGAAUUUGAUUCCAAAGUCAUUCAAGGUAGCUUUCAUCCAAAGCAAUUGUGCACAACAACUACCGGCACUAAUGUAUUCGGCCUCGGCGGUUGAUAGUGCAACACUAUUUUGUUUCUUUGAUGACCAUGAAACUAGAGACCUUCCUAGCAAUUGAGAAGUGCCACUUGUGCUCAUUCUAUCAAUUUUGCAUCCACCAUAGUCGGAGUCCGAAUAUCCAAUUAACUCAAAGUUAGACCCCUUGGGAUACCAUAAUCCAACAUCAUGAGUGCCUUUAAGAUACCUCAAUAUCCUCUUUGUUGCCUUCAAGUGACUUUCCCUAGGUGAAGCUUGGUAUCUUGCACACUUGCACACACUAAACAUCACAUCCGGCCUUGAUGCGGUGACAUAGAGCAAACUUCUAAUCAUGGACCGAUAUAGCUUUUGAUCUACCAUGUUGCCACUUGCAUUACUACCUAAUUGAUCAUUUGUGCCCAUAGGUGUGCUCAUUGGUUUAGCUUCUUGCAACCCAAACUUCUUGAUCAUGUCCUUGAUGUACUUUCCUUGACUCACAAAAGUGCCAUUCUUCAUUUGCUUGAUUUGAAGACCAAGGAAGUAACUAAGCUCUCCAAUCAUGGACAUUUCAAACUCAUUAGCCAUCAUUCUUCCAAACUCUUCACAAAAGUCUUGAUUGGUUGAUCCAAAGAAGAUAUCAUCAACAUAGAUUUGCAACACAAACAAGUCAUUGCCUAGCUUCUUGGUGAAGAGAGUAGUGUCAACCUUUCCCAUCUUGAACCCUUUAGAGAGAAGGAAAUCUCUCAAUCUCUCAUACCAUGCUCUAGGUGCUUGCUUCAAACCAUACAAUGCCUUCUUGAGCUUGUAAACAUGGUUGGGUUUCUUGUCAUCUUCAAAACCGGGAGGUUGUUCAACAUAAACCAACUCAUUUAUGUAUCCGUUAAGAAAUGCACUCUUCACAUCCAUUUGAUAUAGCUUGAUGUUGUGGGCACAAGCAUAGGCUAAUAAUAUUCUAAUUGCCUCCAAUCUUGCAACCGGUGCAUAUGUUUCUCCAAAGUCAAGACCUUCAACUUGAGUGUAACCUUGUGCUACUAGUCUUGCUUUGUUUCUCACAACUACACCAUCUUGAUCUUGCUUGUUUCUAAAGACCCACUUGGUACCAAUCACAUUGUAGUUCUUUGGCCUCUCAACAAGCUCCCACACUUGAUUUCUUGUGAAGUUGUUCAAUUCUUCAUGCAUGUCAUUUACCCAAUCGGAAUCCUUCAAUGCAUCUUCUAUCUUCUUUGGUUCUUCAAAUGAGACAAAUGAGUAGUGCUCACAAAAGGAUGCUAGCCUUGAUCUUGUUUGUACACCACUUUGAAUUCCUCCAAUGACUUGAUCCAAUGGAUGAACCCUUGCUAUGCUAGUAGGUUGGAGUAUUGGGAGUUGAUUGCUUCCACUAGCUUGAUUUUGAUCUUGAUCAUCAUCAUGAGAGCCACUAGUACUAGCUUGAUUUGUAUCAAUUUGCACUUCUUGAUUGAUCAUGUGAAUGUCAUUAUCAUCAUCAACUUGCAUUGGCCUUAUGUCACCAACAUCCAUAUACUUCAUUGCAUUUGCCAAUUGAUCUCCUCUCACAUCAUCAAGAUUUUGAACUUCAUUUUGAGAUCCCUCGGUUUCAUCAAACUCCACAUCAUGGACUUCUUCCAAUGUGCCAUUUGUCAAGUUCCAAACUCUAUAUGCUUUGCUUGUGGUGGAAUAACCAAGUAAGAACCCUUCAUCACAUUUCUUCUCAAAUUUGCUCAAUCUAGUGCCUUUCUUGAGAAUGUAGCAUUUGCAACCAAACACUCUAAAGUAUGCAAUGUUGGGCUUUCUUCCAUUCAUUAGCUCAUAUGGUGUCUUCCCAAGCUUCCCAUGGCAAUAGAGACGGUUGCUACAAUAGCAAGCCGUGUUGAUAGCUUCACUCCAAAAUGAAUGGCUAACAUUGUACUCACUAAGCAUUGAUCUAGCCAUAUCAAUCAAGGUUCUAUUCUUCCUUUCAACUACACUAUUGGAUUGAGGAGUGUAUGUUGGAGAGAAUUGAUGUCCAAUGCCAAGAUCAUCACAUAAUUCCUCAAUUCUUGUGUUCUUGAAUUCACUACCAUUGUCACUUCUAAUCUUCUUGAUAGUGGUUUCAAACUCAUUUUGCACCCUCUUGACAAAAGACUUGAAUAGAUCACAAACAUCACUCUUGUCAUAGAGGAAGAACACCCAAGUGUAUCUAGUGUAGUCAUCUACUAUCACAAAUCCAUACUUGUUUCCACCAAUGCUAGUGUAUGUUGUUGGCCCAAAUAAAUCCAUGUGCAAUAGCUCAAAUGCCUUUGAUGUGCUCAUUUCACUUUUCUUAGGAUGUGCAUUUCCAACUUGCUUUCCGGCUUGACAAGCACUACAUGGUUUAUCUUUCUCAAAGGUGACAUCCUUCAAGCCUCUAACUAAGUCAUGCCUCAAUAGUUUGUUCAAUUGUUUCAUUCCAACAUGGCCAAGCCUUCUAUGCCACAACCAACCCAAACUUGAUUUGCUAAUUAGGCAUGAUGUCAAUUGAGUGUCACUAUUAAUGAAAUCAACCAAGUAUAAGCUACCAUGCCUAAAUCCUAUGAAUAUCAAGUUUGAUCCAUCAACACUAACAACCUCAACAUCAUCACUUCCAAAGAUGCACUUGAAACCAAGGUCACAAAGUUGUGCAAUUGACAAGAGAUUGAAAUCAAGGCUCUCAACUAGCAAUACCUUUGAUAUACUCAUGUCAUUUGAGAUAGCAAUUUUACCAAGCCCUUUGACCUUGCCUUUCUUGUUGUUGCCGAAAGUGAUAGAAUCAAAGCCACCAUUUUGACUAGUAUCAAUUAAUUUGAACAUACAAGACUCCCCGGUCAUAUGUUGAGUGCACCCACUAUCAAGCACCCAAUGCCUUCCUCCGGCUUUGUAAUUGACCUACAAGACAAGAUCAAUUCUUUUUAGGUACCCAAACUUGAUUGGGUCCUCCAAGGUUAGCAACUAAGCUCUUUGGUACCCAAAUGGCUUUCUUCUUUGAGCCCAUCCAUGGUGCACCAAUGAACUUAGCAUGAACACCUUUUGUAUCCUUGGUAAGCAUAUAUAAAGAAUUUAGCUUAAUUGAGGAUACAUGAGCUUUGGGUUUCUUGUUCAUGCAUUGUUGCUCUAGGUGACCAACUUGCUUGCAAGCUUUGCAAUACCGUCCAUUGUUCUUCACAAAACUAGUCUUGUGAGGAGCAAAGGCGGCCUUGCCUUUCUUGAGGUUAUAGCCCAAUCCUUCUUUAUAGAGAGAAGCUCUUUGGCUGCCCAAGCACAUAAGCAAGCGGUCCUCACCACCAUAAGCCUUGGCUAAGGUGUGAUUGAGCUCCUUCACCUCCUUCUUGAGAAUUUCAUUCUCAACUUUUAGUGUGGUGUCACAUGUGAAACCAUCACUACUAGAUGAGGAUGAUGUAGAUGUGCUACAUGAGUGGUUAGUAGAAGCAAUAACAAUAGGCUUGCAUAAGAUAUCACAUGUUAGGCCUAUGUUGCAAGUUUUAGCUUUUUCCUUUUUAGUUGGCUCAUUUUCGCAUUUGUUGACUAGAGAGGAAUGAGCUUCUUCAAGCUUAGUGUGAGCCUUUUGAAGCUUCUUAUGGUCUUCCUUUAGACUCUCAUAAGAUGCUGUGAGCUCAUCAAGUUCUUGCUCAAGGGUUUUCUUAUCCUUAAGCAAGGCCUUGCACUCCUUUCUAGUUUCUUUAUAGUGAUGAGUGCAAUCUUCUAGCAUAGUGAUUAGUUCAUCUUUAGUUGGUUCAUCAUCAUCACUAUCACUAUCACUAUCAUGGUCACUCUCAUCAUCGGAUGAUACCUUAGUGGCCUUAGCCAUGAAGCAUGAUGGAGUGUCGAAGAUGGAGCUCUUUCCUUGAAUUGCAAUGCUAGCAUGCGCCUUCUUCUUGGUGCUCUCAUCAUCACUUGAGGAGUCAUCACUAUCCCAAGUUGCAACAUGGGCAUCACACUUCUUUUUGUUUGAGCCUUCCUUCUUUUCUUGCUUCUUCUUUUGCUUCUUUCUCUCCUUCUUGAUAGCAUCUUCAUCAUCACUAUCAUAAGGACACUUGGCGAUGAGAUGAUCCUUGCUAUGGCAUCUAAAGCACCUCAUGGAAUGGUCAUUCUUCUUGGAGGAGCUUUUCUUCCUUCUUGCCCGAUAGCCCUUCUUCUUCAUAAACUUUCCAAAUCUUUUGACAAGAAGAGCCAUCUCCUCAUCUUCAUCACUAUCACAAGAGCUUGCUUCUUCUUCACUUGAUGAUUCUUGCUUGGCUUUGCCCUUGGAUGUGGUGGCCUUGAAUGCCACACUUUUCUUCUUCUCAUCAUCUUUCUUCUCACCAUCCUUCUUCUUCUUCUUGAUCAACUCAUCCUUCUCAUCAUCUUCCCUAUAAGCAUCAUCGGUCAUCACCUCUUGGAAGACUUGUUGGGGAGUUGAUUCACUAAGUGUUGUCUUGACUAGCACGGUGAUCAAUGUGUCAAAUCUCUUAGGCAAGCUUCUCAAGAACUUCAUAGAGAAUUGACUAUCUUUUACUUCUUCCCUAAGUGCCUUGAGUUCAUUCACAAUGACUUGCAACCGGUGAAACAUCUCCGGCACACUUUCAUCUUCUUGCAUCUUGAAGCUUGAGAACUUUUCUUGGAGGGUGUAUGCUUUGGCGGUCUUGGUUCCCUUGGUGCCCUCAAAUGUUUCUUCUAGCUUUGCCCAUGCAUCAUGAGCAACCUCAAUGUUCUUGAUUUGCUCAAAGGUCUUGUCAUCAAGAGCUUCAUGAAGAGCACUUAUUGCAAUGUCAUUGCAUCGAAGCUUCUUUUCUUCAACCGGUGUUGGUGCAUUCUCAUUUGCAACCUCAAACUUUGUUUCGGUCACCUUCCAAACUUCUCUAUUGAUUGACUUGAGAUGGGCGGUCAUCUUGACCUUCCAAUAAGCAUAAUUGGUGCCAUCAAAGUAAGGUGCCUUCUUAGUGUUGUUGAUAUGCAAACUAAGAGCCAUUUCUUCACCGUAGGUUGUUAAGCCUCAAAUAAACGGUGCCUCGGCUCUGAUACCACUUGUAAGGUCCUGAUGGCUAGAGGGGGGUGAAUAGCCUAUUUAAAAUUCUACAAACUUCAACUAGACAAGUUGAUUAGUAAAACAAAAGGCGAAGCUAUUCUAGCACUAGCACAACUAAGCUAUGCAAGCCACCUAAACAAGUCUAGCAAGAAAGCUAAACACUAGUUACAACAAGAAGGCUAAGCUGAACAAGCUACACAACUAGCAAGGUAUACACAAAGGUAAAGGAGAGGGGAGUGAUUGUUAUACCGACGUUGUAGAGUAGAAAUAUAUCCAAUCAAUCACGUGCACAAACACAAGAGAAACCUCGGCAAGAGAUGACACAAGAUUUUUUACCGAGGUUCACUUGCUUCCCGGCAAGCUACUCCUCGUUGUGGCGAUACACCCACUUGAUGGAUCACGAGCUAAUUGGCAAUCCAAAGCCAAACCCUCAGCGCGUGCCGCACAUCCACUCACAAGAUGGGGAUCCUCCAAGCCACGAGCAAUCCACUAGAGUAGCCAAUUGUGAUCUCCCGCGGGGAAGGCUCAAGAACCCCUCACAAGUCACUUGGUGAGGCUCGAAACAAUCUCCAAUCACGAGCUCAACACCACCGCUGCUCCAAGCCGUCUAGGGCAUCAGGAAACGCCCAAGAGUAACAAGAAAUCCGCAGCAAACUCAAGAAUCAAGUGCCACUAAAUGCAACUCUCAAAGCAAUGCACUUGAAUCUCACUCAAUCUCACUGGGAUUAGCAAUCAAGCAAGGAGAUGAGUGGAGGGAGUAUUCUCUAGCUCAAUGUAUGUCUCAAGUAUUCAAGAGUGCAAGAGAGAGCCCCCCAAAGCCGGCCACCAACUAUUUAUAAGCCCCUCAAAGAAACUAGCCGUUGACCACUUUCACUAGGCUGAAAACGGGGGCACCGGACGCUACUAAGUGAGCACCGGACGCUCGACUCCCUGCGUCCGGUGCACUGGAGUUGGCCACGUGUCCUCUUUGAAACUCGCGUGUCAGAUCCUAACGGCUACCUGCAACACACUGGACGCUCUGCAAGUCCACACCGGACGGUCCGGUGCACACCGGACUCAUGCGCAGAGAGUUUGUCAAACUCGCAACCUCACCGGACGCUAGGCACCGGACGGUCCGGUGCUCACCGGACUCGUGCGCAGAGAGGGUUGCAAAAACCCCUCACACCGGACGCUAACCACCGGACGCUACCAGAGUGCGUCCGGUGCUCAACCCUAGUAGGGUCAAGCACACCGGACGCUGAGGCCAGCGUCCGGUGAGUGUUUCUCAGAGAGAAAACACUCCCGCGACUUCUCAAAAUUUCCCACCGGCGCAAUAGAAAAUAUACACUUAUUUUUCUCAAAAGCGCCGAAUCCCGCCUCGCAAGCUCGGCGAGAGGGAGAGAGGAACCCACACCCCUCUCAACCCUAGGAACUCCACCUCCUUUGAAAAAGUGCUAACACCAACAAGUGUCCACCACCAAAGUGCAUGUGUGUUAGCUUUUCACAAACAUUUUCACCAAAGGAGUUAAGUUAGCACUUUACUAGAUCCUAAUGCAUAUGCUUAAGAUAUGGACCUAGUAGCACUUGAUUAGAGAGAUGACCGUGAUUUCCCCUCUUGAUAGUCGGCUAUCUAUCCUAAACCCGGUCAAUCACUUCUCUACUCAUCUUAGACCGGCAAAUGUAAAACCCUAUGUUUAUACCUUUGCCUUGAUAACUUUGCUCCUUGUCUAUCAUCAUGAUCUCCACAUCAUGCUUCAUUUCUUUGUAAUCAUGUAGCCACCUUUCCAUGCCACCAUGCACCUUCAUCACAUGUGUUGCUAUGCCUAACUCAAAUCACUUAAACACAAGGCAUUAGCAACUUGGUGUCAUUAAUUACCAAAACCAAACUUGGGCUUUCACUAUCUAAGGCCAUUAAUUGAAGAACUCCUUCUUUUAUGGAGUGUUCGUUUGUGGGAUGAGUACAAACAGGAACACUUUGACCUACGAGCACUGUUGUUUGUGACAAUCAAUGAUUGGCCUACUCUAAGUAAUCUUUCAGGGCAGACAAACAAGGGAUAUAAUGCAUGCACACAUUGUUUUGAUGACCUUGAUAGUAUAUAUUUGAAAAAAUGCAGAAAGGUCGUGUACCUUGGGUAUCGUUCAUUUCUUUCUAUGAAUCACCCAGUUAGAAAGAAAGGAAAGCAUUUUAAAGGUAAGGCAGACCACCGAUGCUAGCCUCGCAACAGAACUGGAGAAGAUGUAUUUGAGAUGGUUAAGGAUGUGAAAGUAGUUUUUGGUAAGGGACAGGGCAGCCAACCAGUUCCAAAAGAUGCAGCGGGUCAUGCACCCAUGUGGAAGAAGAAGUCAAUAUUUUGGGAGCUACCCUAUUGGCAAGUCCUAGAGGUCCGGAAUGCGAUCGACGUCAUGCACCAAACAAAGAAUCUUUGUGUGAACCUUCUAGGAUUCAUGGGUGUAUAUGGUAAGCCUAAGGAUUCACUUGAAGCAUGUCCACAUGGAAGAACGAGACAACCUGCAUCCAGAGAAGACAGAUGAUGGACACCAAUAUUUAAGACCUGCUAGCUACACUCUUAGCAAUGAAGAGAAAGAAAUCAUGUUUGAAUGCCUAAGCAGCAUCAAGGUCCCAUCUGGAUUCUCCUCUAAUAUAAAAGGUAUAAUUAAUGUGCCUGAGAAGAAAUUUCUAAACUUAAAGUCGUAUGACUGCCAUGUGCUUAUGACACAAUUGCUUCCAGUUGCAUUAAGAGGAAUUCUACCUCGACAUGUACGUCUGGUCGCCGUAAAGCUAUGUGCAUUCCUCAAUGCAAUUUCUCAGAAGGCAAUCAAUCCACUGGAACUAGCUGCUCUAUAGAAUGAUGUGGUUCAAUGUCUUGUCAGCUUUGAGUUAGUGUUCCCUCCAUCCUUCUUUGAUAUCAUGACACACCUCCUAGUUCAUCUGGUCAAGGAGAUCAAUAUUCUGGGUCCUGUGUUCCUACAUAAUAUGUUUCCCUUUGAGAGGUUUAUGGGAGUUCUGAAGAAAUAUGUUCACCAACGUGCUCGGCCAGAAGGAAGCAUCGCCGAGGGCUAUGGGACAGAGGAGGUCAUUGAGUUUUGUGUUGAAUUCAUUCCUGAACUUGACCCAAUUGGUGUUCCUGAAUCGCGCCACGAGGGGAGACUGAGUGUAAAGGGAACACUAGGAAAGAAAACAUACAUCGGUACGGGGGACGAUUCUUUCAAUAAAGCACACUACACAGUUCUUCAAAACUCAUCCGUGGUGGAGCCGUAUGUGACGAAACACAAGGACUUCCUACGAUCGCAAUUCCCAGAGAAGAAUGAAGCUGGGUUUAUGCGUCAGCACAUAGACACUUUCAGUGAUUGGUUACGAAAAGAAUGUCAAGGUAAUGACCAGAUUGAUGAGCAACUAUAUUUGUUGGCUAGGCAACCAUCAUGGCACAUCCUCACGUACAAAGGGUACGAGAUAAAUGGAAAUACAUUUUACACCCUAGGCCAAGAUAAAAGAAGCACGAACCAAAAUAGUGGAGUUCGCGUAGACGCCAUAGUCCCGAAUGGAAACAGACAAACAUAUUAUGGCCGUAUAGAGGAGAUUUGGGAACUAGACUACGCACCUAAUUUUAAAAUCCCUUUGUUCCGGUGCCAAUGGGUGAAGGUUACCGGAGGCGGGGUGACAGUUGACAAAGACUAUGGAAUGACAACAGUGGACCUCAACAAUGUUGGUUACAAAGAUGAACCAUUCGUCCUUGCUGCUGAUGUGAAUCAGGUGUUCUAUGUGAAAGACAUGUCUACAAAACAGAAGAGAGGGAAAAAUGACAACAAAUCAACAAACGAGCCAAAACGCCAUAUAGUUCUCUCAGGGAAAAGAAACAUUGUGGGAAUUGAGGACAAGUCAGAUAUUUCAGAAGAUUAUGAAAGGGAUAACCGAAUCACGCCUUUCAAUGUGACCAAAGAUCCGAGCAUACUGAUAAAUGCUGAGGACACUCCAUGGUUACGUCAAGAUCAUGACUAAGGAACAUACGUCAAAAAGAAGAUCACUAUUGUGACCGCCUAAUAAAUAGAUUGCAAUAGAGUAUGUGUAUGUGACAAUAGUAACUUAAGAUGUUUAUAUUAGUUUUUCUUAUUUUAUAUCAUUUCAAAUAAUGAAAUGACACUUAAGUUUGCUAUUAUAAGAGAUGUGUCAAUUAUUUGUCAAAUGCAAAAAUAGUCAAACUUGGUCAAAUGACAAACUAAAUUACUUAAAAUCAAAAAAAUUUUGAAUACCAAGUUGUUAGAUAUCAUCAAGAUCUAAACUUUUUAUAUAGACAAUUUUUCCAUUUGAGAAAGUUUAAGUUCACAAUACCCACCAAUUCUUGAAUCUCGCACAAACUAUAUGAAACUACAUGUGUCAAUUGUGGAUUUUGAACUACACCUUCCUAACACUUUGUCAAAUGCAAAAAUGGUCUAUAUAUUAAAUGUAGAUUUUGAUGAGUGGAACAAUAUUGCUAUUCAUGACUUUUUCGUUCGAGACCAUCUAGGGUUCCGAAAACCGAUGCGUGGCUAUGAAUUCUUUCAAAAUUCAAAAUUGAGUGGUUCAAAAUUUUCCAAAAGAAACGUUGACCAUUAGACAAAAUGUAGAACUUGAUGAGUGCAACAAACUUUGUAUUCAUUACUUUCCCAUUUGGGACCAUAUAGGGUUCGGUCAAAGUGUGUGUUUCUAAAAACCAAUGCUUUGACUUUGGUCCAACUUGGUCGAAUGACCCAUUUGAUGACUUGAAAUGAAAAAAAUUUGAAUACAAAGUUGUUAGAGAUCAUCAAGAUCUACAUUUGAUAUAUUGUCCAUUUUUCCAUUUGGAUAAAUUUGAGCCAAUCCUAAGCACAUUUGUUCAAAAUCCAAGACGGGUUUUGGUCAAACUUGGUCAAAUGACAAACUAAAUUACUUAAAAUGAAAAAAUUUUGAAUACCAAGUUGUUAGAUAUCAUCAAGAUCUAAACUUUUUAUAUAGACAAUUUUUCCAUUUGAGAAAGUUUAAGUUCACAAUACCCACCAAUUCUUGAAUCUCACACAAACUAUAUGAAACUACAUGUGUCAAUUGUGGAUUUUGAACUACACUUUCGCAACACUUUGUCAAAUGCAAAAAUAGUCUAUAUAUUAAAUGUAGAUUUUGAUGAGUGGAACAAUAUUGGUAUUCAUGACUUAUCCGUUCGAGACCAUCUAGGGUUCCGAAAAUCGAUGCGUGGCUAUGAAUUCUUUCAAAAUUCAAAAUUGAGUGGUUCAAACUUUUCCAAAAGAAAUGUUGACCAUUAGACAAAAUGUAGAACUUGAUGAGUGCAACAAACCUUGUAUUCAUUACUUUUCCAUUUGGGACCAUAUAGGGUUCGGUCAAAGUGUGUUUUCUAAAAACCAAUGCUUUGACUUUGGUGAAAUGACCCAUUUGAUGACUUGAAAUGAAAAAAAUUUGAAUACAAAGUUGUUAGAGAUAAUUCGAUGUAAUGGUGAAUAUUGUUGUAAGCAUAAAUAAAUAAGAAAUAGACAAAAAAUUUUAAAAAAUAAUCCGAUGUAAUGGUGAAUAUCACGUAUAUCACGAUUUUGGAGAUAAAUGAUGAUAAAUAAACAAAAUUUACGUUUAAAUAUUGCACAAACAAAUUUUUCUAUCAAAAACAUCUGCUUUAAGAUAUUAAAAUUAAAUAAUACAUUUAUGCAUUAAUAGAAUACUAAUUAUUUUUCAUAUUUAAGAUUGCUAAUAUAAGUGAUGAAAAGAUUUUAUGUUUCCAAAUUUAUUAUGUAAGCAAUUAGACAAAAAGAAAUCGAACUAUUAUUUUUUGACAAAUUGAUACCUAUUAUUCUAUUUACUAUGAAAUUAACAACAUUAAUCUAAUUAUUAUAUGCAUAAAUAAAUAAGAAACUGAAAAAUACAUUUAGUCCCGGUUGCUGGCUAGAACCGGGACUAAAGGGUGGACCUUUAGUCCCGGUGCGUAGCACCAAUCGGGACUAAAGGUCCCCGCGUGUAUAUAAGAAAACAGUCGUCUUCCUCAUCCAGUUCGACUGAGCCCUAGUUUUCCUCCGCCGCGUGCCGCUCCCCGUCAUCGCCUCGCACCCUUGUCCCCAGCCGAGUGCCGCCGUCGUCUAGAGCCUAGGAACGCCGCCGCCGCCACCCCUCGUCCCCGGCCCGAGCCGAGGACCGUACGGAGCGCCGCGUCGAGCUCCGAUGACCCGAGCCGAGGACCCUUCUUCUUCUAUGCGCGGCACCGACGACCCUCGUCCUCGGCCCGAGCCGAGGACGUACGGAGCGCCGCAACCGCCGAGCUCCUUGCACCGACCCUCGUCCCUGCAGGCCCGAGCCGAGGUCCCUCCUUGCGCCGCGCCGAGCUUCGAUCUUCUCCGACCGGCACCGAGCAGUUAUUGUCGUUCCUGGCCAUGUUUAUUUGCAAAUAAUUAUACAAAAUGUGAAAAGUGUGAUUAGUUAUUUUUUACCUAUAUACAAAUUGUUUGUUUUUUCCUACAUGCAAAAUGUGAACAGUGUGAACAGUGUGGCAUGUUUAUUUUUUCGUCUCGCGAAUUACAUGUAACUGUGUAAUUAGUUAUUUUUUACCUAUAUUUAAUACUUUGUGCAUGUGCCGCAAGAUUCGAUGUGAUAGGGAAUUUGAAAUAUUUUCCAAAAUAUUUGGGGAAGUAAACAAGGCCUUAGUCCCAAUUUAAAGGCACAAUCGUCGCACUUUCGUUUAUUUGAUAAAUAUUGUUAAGCGAAGUUACAAAUUGUGAUAAAGGCACAAAUCAUAUAAUUGCUUGAGAAAUAAAUACUAUUAACUUGGUUAAAUUUGAAUUAGUUUCAUCGACACAAAUCACAUAAUUGCAUUCUUUUAUGGACGAAGAGAGUAUAUUAUAUUAUAUUAUAUAUUUAUAAUAUAUUCCCAAAAUUGAUAUACAUAAAGUCUUUUGCCAAAAAUAAUAUAUUCCCAAAAUUGAUAUACAUGAAGUCUUUUGCCAAAAAUAAUAAAAUGGACGAAGAGAUGUAUAAUUUCUAUUUUAUAAUUUAUUUUUUGUAUUAUAUAAUUUAUAUGAUAUAAUUUAUCCUAUGUUGUAAUUAGUUAGUAGGGAUAGAUAUUGAGAUGAGAUGUAUAAUUUUUAUUUUAUAAUUUAUCUUUUAUAUUAUAUAAUUUAUAUGAUAUAAUUUAUCCUAUGUUGUAAUUAGUUAGUAGGGAUAGAUAUUGAGAUGAGAUGUAUAAUUUCUAUUUUAUAAUUUAUCUUUUGUAUUAUAUAAUUUAUAUGAUAUAAUUUAUCUUGUGUUGUAAUUAGUUAGUAGGGAUAGAUAUUGAGAUGAGAUUUAUGACUUAUAUGAUAUAAUCGAAUAUUGUCUAAGUUUAGCCUAUCCAAAUAAUUUUUGUUGAUCGCGUCAAAAACUUUUAACACUUGAUUAAUUUUGCAGAAAUGGUCAAUCCGAAUGACAACAUGGAUGAUGCAAUGAUGGACCUAAUCAACAGCGGCGCCAAUCCAGAUCCCCAAGGCGAAGAUGAUGGGAGUCAGUACUUUGCUGAUUAUGAAGAACUUGUGGGAGACAAUCCUGAUCAGGUCUAUCUACAAUCUAGUAUAUAUGUAUAUAUAUGAAAUUAAAAUAAAUAACAUUUACACUAAUGUAUUUAUACUUGUUUGUGUAGCCCUCUAAAUCGACGACAACUUCUGAGAAGAGUAGAAAAGUGCGCGGCCCGAAGAAGCCGAUGGAGGGUCGGUACAUUCCGUCGGAAUUCGAUGACGGUACAGGACAAGUACUUGGGGCUAAUUCUAAAAAAAUUGUUGCGCACUGUGGCUACCUUGUAAGGGACAGGCUCCCGGUUAGUGCUCGUGAAUGGAGGCAACAGAAAGAUAACCCUAAUAUUAGUUUUGUCACAGAUCGUGACAAGAAAAUGAUUUGGCAAGAUAUCCUUCAACAUUUCACGCUCGAUACACAGGAUGAAGCUUUGAAGGAGAAGGUUAAAAUCUGGGCUAUGCAGAAGAUGGCCAAACAAUUUCAGGCUUGGAAGAAGACAUUAUACAAGACUUUUGCUGCAUAAGGUCAGACACCAGAUUUCACCAACAAGACCUACGUCAAGUUGAGGCCUUUUUGGAAUGAGUUCGUAGAGUUUAAGAACUCAGAAGAGGGUCAGGCACGGAUGAUCAAGAAUCAAGAAAAUGCUAAACAAAAGUAAUACCACCAUCACUUGGGUUCAGGUGGCUACAAGAUUGCUAUUCCUAAGUGGCAAAAGAUGGAACAGGAGAUUCUUGGGAGAGGGAUCGAACCAGAAUCAAUGCACUGGCCCGAGCGCGCCAAGUAUUGGUUCUUUGGUCACGGGGGAACCAUAGACCUAGAGACCGGAAAGAUAGUGUACGGCGAAAAGCUCGAGAGAGUAGGACAGAGAAUGGCCUAUGCUAGAGGAUUAGUUAAAAGCGGCACCUGGCAGCCAAAUAGAGAAAAGGAUGAGCUGACAUACGCCCUGGAGACUGCUGAACACGGUGGGCGAACCAGUGGCUAUGGGGAGGUAUCAUGGGAGCAUGGCUUCCCUAAAGAUAGACCAACUUAUAGAAGCCGCCAACGAAAGAAGGAAGAGGAAGCAGAGUAGUUGCAUAGGUUGGAGGCAAUGGUGAUUGAGUCACGCGAAGCGGCUCGUGAAGCGAUAGCGCGAGAGAAAGCGCUUGAAGAGAGAAUGAACAAGGAGAUCAAAAGACAAGUGCAGAUUGCAGUAAGUUCUAUACAAGGGCAAACUGCAUCAGAGCCUAGAGUCAACAUUAGCCCCCGGUCAGUUGAAAAGUAUACGCUUCCACGGAGAUGCCAACUAUUCAAGACGACGUGGGGCUGCACUUUCCAGUGGAUGACAUCACUGAACCUCUGACAACAUGUGAGCUGCACAUUCCACAGGGGACUGCCACAGUCAUGGUUGCUGUCGGUGUUGUAACUCCUGUCGACCCUACGAGGACACCAAGAAUCCAUGGGGCGAUAGUUCCACCUGGAUAUGCUAGUGUCUCAGUGGAUAGAGUUGUCAAAGGCUUCAGUAAUGUGCAGCUUGAGAUUGAAGGAGGCGAUGGAGAGAAGACUCUAGGAGAAGGAGAGAAGACGUUUAUUUGUUGGCGCAAGCGCUACAUCAUUAUUCCUGGGGCAUCACCUAGUAGUCUGCCACCACCUCCUCGUCAUGAAUCUAAUCCUAGGUGCGGAUGAAAAUUGACUAUACAUUUGUUCACUAAAUUUAUUUUGCAUUCUCUUAGUUAGCGGUUUACUCAUAUACCUUUUGUUUUCACAGGUGGUCACCUACAUGUCAUAGUGCUGCGGGUGAUGACGAGGGAGUGCAAGACACGGCUGCAUCGCCUCGGUCUCCAGCGCCACCACCUAGGGCUCCAACACCGCCACCUAGGGCUCCAACACCGCCACCUAGGGCUCCAAAGCCACCUAGGGCUCCAACGCCGCCUCCUCGGGCUCCAACACCGCCACCAGCUGCCCCAUCGCCUCCACACUUGGCUCCAGCACGAAAGAAGAGGCCGGCCACGCAAUCAAAUGUGUCGGCCGCCCCGUCGCCAAAAAAGAAAGCCUCCGAAAAGAAACAAGCUAUCAUUCCUAAGUUGUCCUAUGAGAAGACUCAUGCAGAACUAAAUUCUUCAGUAAAAUCAGGCGUGGAUAGUUUCUUCAAGAAACUUAAGACUGAAAGAGAAGCCAAGCGAAACCCUGAGAAGCCAUACCUCUUACUACGGCCAGAAGAUCUACGACAAAGGGUUGAGGCUGAACAAAAAAAGAGGCGUGAAGCUCAGAAAGAAUCAUCAUCUUUAUCGGACUAUGAUCGCACUUUAUGGAAAUCCAUAGAAGAAGAGAAGAAGAAAGAGAAAAGAGCACGCAAGGGUGUAGCACAGCUCGGGGAACAAUCAAAGCAAUCAGUUCCCCCGCUAGUCAUUGGAAAUGAAUAUGGUUCAAACAUUGUCGUGCUAGACCAGCAGAUACCGGCAGAUUUAAAAUUUGAAGAGCUUGAAAUUUUUUUGCGGAAACUGGUCUUAGCUUAGCCCAAAUGAUAGCGGGGCACCAAUUGAAAGUGCUCCACAAAUUGAUCAUUGGCAGAAGGAAUAUACAUAUGGCAAGAGUUUAUACAACCCUGCGGCCCUCAGCAAGCUUGGAACGCAAAUGUACAUGCUAAACAAAUGGUACAUGGAAGCGUGUGUCGCAGAUGACUAUCUUUGUGUCCGAAUUAGAAAGUAUCAUUACUUCCAUGGUGAUGAUAUUAUUUAUGUUCAAUUUAAUGAGCUACACCAACUAUGCCACAUGGACGCUCUUAACAAAUCUCUAAUGAGUUGCUUCUGUCUGUAAGUGAUUCUUCCAUUCAAUAAUGUCUCUGUAACUUAUCAUGUAUAUAUAUAACUAAUUACAGAAACCCGCUAUACAUAUGCAGAAACAUGAUGAGGGACCUCAGAGUUAGAAAUGACAAGGAGAUUGGAUUUGUGGAUCCAAAUGUUGUAUUCAAAGACCACAAGACCCCGUAUGUCUUAUGGAGAACUCAAACGAAGAGAAAUCUACGAAGGUUCUUGAUCAACCAAAAAGAUAAAAGAUAUAUACUCUUUCCCUACAACUUUAAGUAAGUGUCGUUAUCGUGUGUACAUUCUAUUUAACUAAUUAAUCAGAUCAAUAUGAAGAUAUAUACUAAUUUUGCCUACAUAUGCACACAAAUGCAGCUUUCAUUGGAUACUAAUUGUCAUUGAUCUCUGGCAAAGUCAAUUGGUAAUCCAUGACUCAUUGAGAAAACCACAAGACGAUUACCAAGAAAUGAUAGAUAUUAUCCAAGGGUAACCCCGAUCUCUAUAUAUUAAAUUCUGCUCUUUUAACUUGGUAAUGGAUAAUUAAUAAUGAUCGUUUUAUUGCUAGGGUUUGGGCUGGGUUCGUGCAGAAACACCGUCCAGAGUUGAAUGCAGCACUUUCAAAGCCCAUCUUACUUUCAGUGGGUUCUACGGCAGACACCGGACAACAAUUUGUGUGGCUACUAUGUGUGCGAGUUUAUGACGGUGUAUGCCAAAAGAACUAAUCUUGAGCACCUAAAAGUAUGUAACAUGUAUAUAUAAUAAGUUUAUUUCAUUUAUUUGUUGCUAUUUAAUAAAUCCUAUUCAUACCUCUAACUUUUUUCUUUAAUGUCUAUUAAAGGAGAUGUGGCUGAAGGAGCACGUGUUGGAUGCGGUGUGCCUAAAAGGAAUUCAGGAGACAAUCGCAGGAUUUCUUAACGACCAAGUCCUGAAUCCCGGCGGCGAGUGCUACUUCAACCAUCAGGAGCCAAUGAAACCAAAUAACGAUGAUCAUUUGUACGAUGCUUGAGUGGCGGAGAUAAAUUGUGUUGUAAAUACUUUGUCCGUGAAGCAUAUGUGUAAAUAUUAUAUUAUGGACCUAUAGAUACAUAUUAUUUAUAUAUAUACAAUGUUUUAUAGUAUAUUUCAUGUAAUGCUUUAAAUUAUAUAAAUUAUAGAUGCGCGUUCCAUAAACUACCAGAAACAAUACGCAUUCGAAAAUAACAAUAACAUAAUUGUAAACCCUAAAUGGAAAACCAAAUGAAAAGAAAAAGAAAAAAGAAAAAAGUCUUUAGUCCCGGUUGGUAGCAACAACCGGGACUAAAAGUGGAGGCCAGGUGGCACACCGUGGCGCGCCUUUUAGUCCCGGUUGGUCUUACCAACCGGGACUAAAGGUGGACCUUUAGUCCCGGUCCUCGGAACCGGGACUAAAGGUGGGACAUUUAGUCCCGAAACCUUAGCCCUGGUUCCGUAGCCGGGACUAAAGGCUCUUACGGCCUGGGGCUAAAGCCCUUCUCUGUACUAGUGCUACCAGUCCUGCUAACGGGAGGUGGACUACAGAGGACCAUCGUAGCUGUCACCUAAGUGGCCUACCAUGCGAUCCGGCUAACAGGGGAUAUCCACAAGUAAUAUAGGCCUAAGCACUACGCUUACACCUAUACUACAACUCUCACCUAUAGCGUCCUAUAGAUUAAAGUACUCAAAAUAGUUGUGAACCAGAACAUACAUGGAUAGUAAUUGCAUAAUGAAAUAAGAAGUGGAUUACCAGAGUCAUCCCAUGAGCAAGCUUGAUUAGAGCUUGAUCAUGGCGAAGUACAACCGAAGGAAGAACCGACAGGCCAGCCUCUCCUCCAAUCCUCCCUCGCUCUCCAUCUCACGACUAUCUAGAUCUACUCUAGUUUAGAGAUGAGAGGAGAGCUCUCAUCUCCAAACCCUGCCUUUUGCUCUGUCUAUAAAUAAUGAAUAGGGAUGUAGAGGUGCCUUCUCCAGGGACUAGGUGGCCUGCUUAUAUAGCCGCUCCAAAUGAAUGUGGUCCGUCGGAUCAAACCGACCUUAAUCGCAUGGUUUUCCUUAAUCCUUUAGGUCGGUGGAGCAUAAUCCGCGAGGUGGAGCCUGAUUGGCUCCUGUAGCAGGGCGGGUGCCCUAGGGCGGAGGGCGGGCACCAUGCCCCUGGCCCACUCGGCCUCCCGUUCGUUCCCGUGGCUUCUGGAGUCUUAUAGAUGAUAGAAAAUUGCCGCACACAUUAAUAUCUCUAUAUAAACCCGACGUGUGGGCCUUUCCUCCAUAUUUCCUUGUAACCCCCUGCAGAAAUAGACAAACACCAAAACUCGUGGAAUUCUGUGAAAUAAAACCCUAAGUCUGGGUGUUGGUUGCAUUUGGAACCUUUUCUUUAUUUAUUUGAUGAUUAAAUUGGAUACUUAAGGACCAUCAACAAACUCCCCCAAGCAUACCUCUUGCUCGUCCCUGAGCAAGGAUGGACUCAAGUGUUUCUGCAGUGGUUUCAUACCUUAAAGGUACACAUGCGUUCAAACAAGAUCUCAUCUCUGGGUUAGGGUAAACUGUUAAGAUUUAAACUUACUCAUAUUACCUUCCACCAUGGGGCUUGUAAUCGUCACUUGUGUCUUGAGUAGUUAAAGGAUAGAACGGUCCAGUCAAGUGCCAUGUCUCUUGUUCUUGAUCAAGUAUAGCUCUGGUGUUUUUUUGCAGAUUUUCAAAUAAAACUCAGAGAUUCCUUGUAUGACUCUCUCUAGUCUCUCUUUUGUGGUAUUUCUGGAUCCUUACCAAGGUAGUAAUGGUUUAUGCCUUCUCUCAAAGUAUGUGGUAUUUUUGGUACGAGGCAUAGUGAUAUUGCCUUCUCCCUCACCCUACUCUAAUAAGGUUUUGAUAUCUGGAGCUCAUAGGUGGGAGAUAAAGCAUACAUACUUACAAGACAUUUAUUGCAUAGUCAAACCAUGGAUCUAGAGAAACAAGUCAAUAAGUCAAAUCAAGAUGUGCAUGUGUGGCGAGUGAAUGGUGUAUGGUGAUGAUGGUGAAAGUCUACUUCUACUUUUGCUCUUUUUAGUGGUUACAUACCUUGCUUGCACUUUGAAGCUUUUUGAGGAGAAUGAGAUGCUCUAUAUUUUUUUUCUUUUCUCUCAGGUGGGUAUCUUGUACCCCUAAUUCUACUAUCGGACACUUGUCCAUUUUUAUCUCUCGUCUCACUUUUUCUUUUCUUCGAGGUUCCGGGCACUUGCCCCUUUUUAUUUCCUCAUAUUCACUUUUUUCAGAGCACUCACCCUCCUAGAAUAAUGUAGCAAGUGGUAGUAACCAAAAUAUCUCGAGCAUUUAUCUCACAUGGAAUAACAGGGAUAGAACAAUAUUUUUGGCUAUUCUUUCCUGGAUAGGAGUAGAAUAAUUUUGGGUGAAUCUGGAGAUGGAAAUGAGUGGAUGUAUGUGGAUGCGUACUUCCGGAGUAGAAGCAGCAUGUAUGAGUGAACGUGCAAGUGAAUCUUGAUUUUAACCGCAUGACAAGCUCCUAAGGGUCUACAUAGCUUGACCACACUCAAUGCUCAUAAGUAGUAAAAAGUAAAUGUAUGGUUCAUAGCCUAAUAAGCAUGUAUAUAUGGUUGUGGUAGUAUUUUAAACUCUCAUCAUAGAGGAACUCAUCAUGCAACAUUUUAAAGAUUUUCAAAGAUAAAACUCUCCAGAAUUCUAGCAUCUCUAGGAACAGAUAAACAACAGCUCAACCUUCCCAUAUCGUAUCCGUUAACGACUUAGACUUUAGAUCAAGUACUCUUCCCACAAGUUCAGGUUUAGAGCAAAUCUUAAUUCAUAACAGUCAUGCCUAAACUUGAGAGAGAUUUCAAUUUUGAGAACUAGUCAUGACAGAGCAACUAUUCAUUAUUUUCAUGUGAGAGCUAGUAAACUUUAUUUAUUUAGCAAACUAAGCAAAGAUAUAUAAGCACAAAAUUUUUAUUUGGGUUUUUAUGAUUAUGCAUCUUUUUAUUAUUUGAGUAAAGUAUAAACGCGAGUAGAAACACUUAGCUAGAUAAAUGGGGGUGCUCUUCCCCAAGCUGGUUUUUGACGUAAUUUUUUCUGAUGUAGCUAGCAGGUGGCAGAGGUAUAUUUGAAUGUCGGCAGCACCCUGACAGCGAUUAGGAUGUCCUCCGUCUGCUAGUCUUAUUUGAUCCUUGAAUUAUGUGGGGCUCAAAUAGACAACAAAGCUUUGUGGAACUGGUUAAGUGUUAGCAUAAAAUCUCUUAACCAUUAUCAUGUUGAGCUUCCUCUAAUAAAUAUUACUCUCUUUUGUAGGAUCAUAAAUUUAUUUUUAUAUUUUCAUUUUUAUAGGACAGGAAUAUUUUUAUUUUUACGCCAACACAGUGAAUGUACUUAUGUGUUUUAUGGCACGAGCACACUCACAUGGGGCUUACUGUUUUUAACAUUUUUAAUUUCUUUUCAAGAUAGCAUGAUUAACUAACAAGCUAUUUAAGGAAAGUAAAUAAUUUAAGGAAAAGGGAAUGCAGAAAGGAUAAAUAUGGAUAACUACCGAUUUUACCUUCCGGCGAGGGUUCAAUGUUUUAAGUCUUCUGAACAAGACUUCUCACCGUGUUCAUUCUUUAGGUGCAUCAUUUGAUUUAGGUGUGGACCAUGACGUCUGCUCCUCUUGAUACGGUGUCACCCAUGUUCUUCGUUUGCCCAGCAGUUCGAAGUGCGGCAUUGGCCGCAUCCUGCUCAGUGUGUUUGUGCUCAUAGAUCUAGGUCCUUCACUUGGUGGAGUCUGGGAGUUGUAAAACUCCUCCAUAUUUUGGCCGAAGUGUACCUACUCAUAGAGACAAGGCAGAGAUCAAGUGCAUGGCUCCUAUUGGUGGAAAACACCAACAAAACCAAAAGUGUAUUUGUUCUUCUCUAACCUUAAGCAUAGUGACAAAGACAAAGUUGAUGGAUAAUAAGAUCAUGAGUGUAGUAUUUAAAACAUUUGUCAGAUCAGAUCGCUCAACCUAAUGGAAAGAUAAUCUAUCUAUAUUUAUGUUUUUUAUGUCUUCCAAAGAUUGAGUCUGCAAUAUUUUAGCUCAUAUGAUUAGGAGUGUGGGAUCACAAAGGUGGAACGACUAAACUUGUUGAAUCGAUUGGGUUGGUUAAUCUAGAGUUGUAAAUCAUACAUGUUUGUCUCUUUUAUUCAUGUAAACACUAGAACCAAGGAGAAGCUUAUAAAAGUGAUAGUCAUGUACCUUAAGAUGUUACCUUACUUGAAGAGUGAUGGUACAGUAUCACCUUGUGGAAGCUUUUCUUUCUUAGCGGUUGUGCAUCGUGUUUGUGGCACCCUCCAUGGAUCAUCUCUUAUGAGCUAUGUCUUCCUUGUGUAAAUUGUUAAACUUCAUGUGUCUCUCUCUUUGACUCCAAUGUGAGUUUAUCUCAGGACUUCCCAGGUCGAUAUUGAAAGUUUUCCUGCAGGGGUUAGUCCAAAAUAUACAAUAUCUACUAUAGCAUACUAUCGGUUCAAAAAUCAACCUAGACACCAUGUCUAAUUUGAUUUAGAAGGGCAUUUUAACCUAAGCACCAUGCUUAAUUUAAAAUCCCUUGGAAGUAAGAUCAUCAUUCCUAAACUAAGCACCAUGCUUAUUUAAGAGAUAAAUGAAACUACUCCAAACCUAGACAUAUACUAAAGCAAAUAAAGGUAGCAUGAGAGCAUUUAUAGAGAUCUACUCAAGUGGAGAUGAAGUAGUGUGAUUAGUAUUUAACAAAUUGAGCAUGUCAAAGGUAGGGACAACCAACAUAGCAACAUGGCAAAGGAUGUUUUUAUGUAAAGUACUCCCCCAAGCUUGAUUUUUGCAAAAUUCAAGUUUGGAUGAAUUUAGUUCAAUGUUGUAUGAUGAUUGGUUGGACAUACCUUAUGCUUGUCAUUCAUCUGAUCUUCUUGCUUCAAUCCUCGAAAGAUUAGUGACAAGAAUACCCGAAGGAAUAUUUUUACAAUUAUCCUUAUAUGCUCAAUAUGCAAGGUAAUGUUGCAAAUAAUUAAAAGCUCAUGUUACGAUCUGAUCAGUGCUUAUUUUAGGACACUAAGCUUGUCCUUGGGAAACCAUCAAUUUAUGUCAGCGAAGUGGUUUCCCCUCCAACGCUAACCUAUAUCAAGAUCAGCUCAACGAGAUUUGCAAUAUUUGUUAUAGACAUAUGCAUCGACAACCGCCCUUUUAAAGUUUUUAUAAAUAGAAAGGAAGAGGGGGUUGGAGAUCUCAAAUGUGGUGAUGUUGCAGAGACCAAUAGAUUGGGAAGAUGUUGCAUAUGAGCAUGGAGCAAACGAAGUGGCUAUGAAAUAAAUUCCAUGCUAAUUAAUAUUAUCUUCGUCUCCAAUCUGAAUGUUUGGAGUUUCUCCUGGAUUGGUCUCGCCUAUGUCCUCUUCUAUAGUUGGAUGAAUCUCAUCUUCAAAGGGAGUCAAGAACUCACCAUUUGAAAUUGAGCCAAAGUCAGAAUCCAUUAAGGCUUCUUCCUUGUCCAUCCAUUCUACACAUUCUAGCCAUUUAGAACUUGUGAUCAGGAAAGGGGAGGUGUUAGAAUUUUCUAUAUGGCUUAGCUCUCCUUCUAUGACAUUACUUGACAUGUCAUCCUCAUGGUCUUUAUGACUCCUAUGGUUUGAUCGUCUUGAUAGAUUGCUAGGAUCAUCAUGAGACUGAAAAGGAGAGGGAUAAGAGGGGUCUCUAAGGUCAAGGAUGGAUUUAGAAUUUGUGAACAUGGAAGGGGAGCAGAUAGAAUCUUCUAUAUGGUUUAGCUCUCCUUCACUUUUUUUGGGGGAAAAACUGUGAAGCUUCGCUUCCCAGUGCUUAAAUUAAUAAAACAGAGGGUGUACAUAAGUGAAGUUAGCAGGCAGCUAACUGAGAGGGAGGACAAACCUAGACUUACCUAAAGAGAAGAGUGGAGUGUGGGGUAAGACAAGGAGAAGAAGAGAGGCCUAUUACAAACUAUUGAUGUAAUUCAUAAUUAACACUCUUUUGUGCUGAGGUAACCUAUGAAGGUGAAUUACAACUUCAGCCCUGAAUACUCUUUUCCAUCUAGACAGCCGAGGAGCUAUGUUGUUGAAGAUAAAAUCAUUCCUUUCCUUCCAAAUGCACCAAGUUGCAAUGGUAAACAAAUCCAUGAAGUAGGGGCCUACGAAAACUUCUUUCUGAAGCUGUAAUUUUUGGCAAAUAUCUAGAACCGGGAGCCAUUGAAUGCCAAGUAGGAACCAACGUGCAGUACUGGACUGGCAUUCGAAGAAGAGAUGCAGUAUGGUUUCAUUGACCUGGUCAUGGCACAAAGAGCAAAGAUACCCUUCUUCUAAAUGUUUUUCCUUCUCCUGAGAACAUCCCUUGUAUUUAAUCGGUCUACUAACAGUACCCAGGCGAAAAUUUUCAAUUUAGGCAUACACUUUCCUUACCAUAUCCACAGGAAAGGGGGUUGAGCUUGUAUAUCCUGGAAACUUCUUUUGUAGAACUUUGAAGCUGCAUAGAGACCUCCAGACCAAUUACAAGUCCACACAUCUGAUUGCUCCUCAUUAUAUUCGCCUCUGAGUUGAUCUAAAUUGAGCUGAAUUCAAGGAAUUCAUUGUAAGUUUGUCUGGACAUUGGUAACCGAAAUAAUUGCAGCAGGUCACUCUGCAUCAAGGCUUGCCCAAGCGAGAUGUUCUGGUUGGCGGCAUACUGAAACAGAUGUGGAUAAGUAGUUGAGAGAGGCUGUUGAAACAGGACAUCAUGACAAAGACCCAUAGAAUUUCCUUUGCCAAAGAUGCACUGAGCUAGAUAACUGAACUUAGCGUUGAGCUUUAGGAUAUCCUUCCACCAAAAGGAUCCCCUGGCAGCUGUUAGAUGGGGGACUUUUUGUUGGUAAUAAGCCUCCCAAACAAAACUGACCCAUGGUAUCUCAGCCCUAUUAUAGAACUUAGCAAGAUGCUUGAUGAGUAAUGCUUCAUUUUGUAAGUAUAGAUCUUUAACUCCUAGGCCUCCUUUGAACUUGGGUACUGUAACCAUAUUCCAUGCAGCUAGGUUAUAGCCCUUUGCAUUAGGAUCAGAGCCUCUCUAGAGGCAUUUUUUUCGAAAUUUAUCAAUCAUUUCAAUCACUGCUUGUGGUAAGCUUAGAGUGCACAUAUAAUAAGUGGGAAGUGUUGAAAUGACUGAAUUAACCAGCUGCAGCCUGCCUGCAUAAUUUAAAAAGGAUGAACUUCCUGAUAAUUUCCUCUCAAUCCUGCAAAUCAAUGGAGCAUAAUCCUUCACUAAAGGCUUUGUUAUCCCCAGUGGUAUUCCUAGAUAAGUGAAAGGUAAAGAUCCUUGGGCACAGCCAAAAGUUUCAGUCAGGAUUGGGACUCUGUCCUGUGACACAUUAAUUGGUAUAAGACAUGACUUAUUAAAAUUGACCUUUAGUCCUGUAGAUUCAGCAAAAGAGUGCAAAAGAGCUUUCAGGUGUAGGAGCUGCCUUGUAUCAGCUUGCAUAAUCAUUAGGGUGUCAUCGGCAUAUUGUAUGAUUGGGAAAUUUUCAAUAUCUCUGUUUGGAAUGGGCAGCUGGAAAAAACCAUCUUGAUAAGCUUUAUUAACAAUGCUCUGUAAUAGAUCAGCUACCAGCACAAAAAGCAACGAGGAUAAUGGAUCACCUUGCCUAACCCCUCUUCUACAAGCAAAAUCCUUACCAUUUAUCCCAUUCAACAGGACUGCCAAGGUGCCUGAGUUCAGUAUCAUCUUUACCCAGGAGAUCCAUUUCAAAGGAAAACCUUUUGCUUGCAAGAUGGAUAAAAUGGCUUUAAAUUCAACUAUGUCAAAAGCUUUCUCAAAGUCUAAUUUGAGAAUGAUGAUCUCUCUUCUAGAGGCAUGACAUUGGUAGAUAUAUUCAAAAGCCCAUCCUAGACAAUCCUGUAUAGAUCUCCCUUGAAUAAAACCAUACUGGUUUCUAUGAACAACCUUUAAGAUUACCUGCUGUAAUCUAUUUGCCAACAACUUAGUCAGUAUUUUCAUGAUUGAGUUCAACAAAGAGAUAGGCCUAAAAUCAGUCACCAACUCAGGACUAGGCUUUUUGGGUACCAAAGUGAUGUAAGAAUAGUUUAUGGAUUUCAGAUCAGCAACCUCAUUAUAAAAAUCAGUAACUAGCCUGUAGACAUCAUACUUAAUGAUAGGCUAGCUCCUUUUAAGGAAAUGACCAUUGAACCCAUCAGGCCCAGGGGCUUUAUCAAGAGGCAGAUCCUUGAUUAUCUGGUUGAUUUCAUCAGUUGAGAAGGGUUGGGCAAGACAUUGCAAAUCAAGAACAGGCAUGAGCUGCUGGAGAUCGUAAAGCAUCUGGGUGUUAACUGAAACACCAGUCUAUUUUUGAACUCAUGCCAAAAGAGGGCAGCUUUCUCUGCAUGAUCAGUCACAAUUCUUCCAUCAGAAGCUGUGAUUUGUGAAAUAACAUUGAAAUAGUAUCUUUGUGUGGCACGUGCAUGGAAAAACUUCGUGUUGCCAUCUCCUAAAGUUACUAAUUUCUUGGUAUAUCUAUGUUUCCAAUAGGAGUGUUGGUAACCAAGUAAUUUUUGCAACUGACUUUGGAUAAUGGUUCUGAAGUUUUGCUCCUGUAGAAACAAUGGCCUAUACUCUUCCAGAUCAUCAAGUAGACUGAUGACAAGAUUACAGUGCUUGAUUAGGAUGGUAAUGCUUGACUGAUUGCUUUGCCAUUUCUUUAGGGCAGCUCUUACUGUCUUAAGCUUGAUAGAUAUGUUCCUGGUGUUACUGCUGCUACAAGAGUUGGAGAACCAAGCUGUUGCUACUGUAUCAAAGAACCUAGGUAACUGUGCCCAGUAGUUGUUGUAUCUGAAGAGUGUGGCCUUUGGAACCUUUGAGUCAAUCCUGAUUUUGCAAGGGGUGUGAUCAGAAACACUUUUCACCAAGGGAAGAACCACAGUGUUGGGAUAAGUCAGAGACCAUGUUGGGGUUGUGAAGAACCAAUCCAACUGUUGCAGCAAAGGCUGCUCUUGCAUAUUACUCCAAGUGUAAUUCCGACCUUUAAGGGGAAGCUCCAGCAACCCUAGUUCUUGUAUGAUGUCAUUAAAGAUGAACAUAUCGUUUAUAUUAGCGCCUGACUUAUUCCUAUUCGAUGUGGAUCUAUAAAAGUUGAAAUCCCCUACCAUAAGGCAUAGAUCAUCUUGCUGAAACUCUAGCCCAUAUAACCAUGCAACGAAAUUCGUUCUGGUUGGCUCUCGGGUUGGCCCAUAAACAGUAAUCAACUCCCAAGAUACUAAGUUAUGAAUGGCAGUCACUUUCAAUCUCAGAGCAAAAAUUUCGAAAUCCACUGGUUAGACCGAGAAAAUUCUUGAGUUCCAUGCUACUAGAAUACACUACAAGAAAUACAUGGCUUUUUAACAUUUAGUUAUGUCACAAUAUAUGAAAUUUAUAUUACAAAUUAAGAUUUUUGACAUCAAGUUGACAAAAAUCAAAACGUAGAAAAACCCGCGUCAUAAAAUGAUUAUGUGACAUUUGUUUGGUUUAUGUCGCAAGCAUAUGACAUUGGUUUAUUGUCACAAAAUCAUAGGCCUUGCCAUGUGGCAGCUGACAUGGCAGGGAGAAAAAAUGUCACAAACACUACAAAAAAAUGUCACAACCAUCAUAAUUCUGUUACAUGUCAGUAGGCUGUUUAUGGCCCAUUAUUCAUGCCAAUGUGUUUGUGGCACGCUCAUGAAAUACACAUAAAUUGGAAGAAAGCUCACAAUUGACAAAAUAUUGGUCAUCUUUUCAUUGAAACCAUCAACAUUUGUACUUGUACAAUUUUCAUAGGAAAUACAAAGGCAAUAAGCAAGCUACACACAAGUAGCUACAAAACUAAGAGGGUAGCUUACACAAUACAACUCAUAUGAUUUUCUUGCAUAACAAAAUCUUUCAAAAAUAGCCACCAUGAGCACUUUGAUCCUCUUGCUGCACCAGUGUACAUCGAAGCUCAUUCUGACCUGAAAACCAAAGGUUCCAUUUAUCACUAAUGCAGUCUAAACAAAGUUAUAUGGAAAGGUGCCAGAGGUAAAAAAACCUUGAAAACUUAGCAGAUUCUCCACCACGACUUGGUAUAACAAGGCAUAUAUAACUACUGCUUUUUUUUUCUUUCAUGCAAACUUUAAACGACAAAAUUGUAUUUCCUAACAUCAGCAAAUAGAACUGAACCAAUGUUAAGUGGCUCUGUAUACAGAGAAUGCAAAUCAUCAAUAAAGAAACUAGCUAGUAGUAACAGAGGAGGAAGACAGAGAAAAAUUAUAGAAAUGAGUUCAAGAUUCAGAUGUGUGCGCAAAAGAAAGAAUUAUGGUUCAUCUAACUUUUGAAAUAGAUGCAGACUCAAGAGAUAUCUCCUACAUGCACACAAUACUGAAAUUUGAGAUAAAAACCUAUAAAUUGAACAAACUAUUAGAGUCUCUCUAUCAAUCUGUAAAUAAAUUAGGGAUCUAGGAGGUUCAGGCUUGGGCUAACCUGCAAAUCAUGGAGACAGAAAAACAGAGACAACUGGACAAGUAAGCAGUGCCAUCCUGCUGCCGUGCGAUGAUUUGCUUAUUGCAUCACUGUUGACAGCACAAAAAGAAAGCAAACAACUUGUUCUGGAUGGAGUAGCUCCGUGCUGAUGCUAGAGGAAGAACUGAAAAAGCUUUAAGAAUAUUAGUGUUUAAGAUCCUUGGCUGAUCCAAAUUUAUAGCAGCACCAACACGCAGAAUAGAUUUCAAAAAAAAACGUGCAGAAUAGAGGCACAACAAAUCUUAACAGGAACAGAUUUGCACUCUAUACAUUACCCAACAACUCUUUAUAUUAGACAGUGGAAAUAAUGACAAUAAUUCUCAGGCAAGCAACUCCUUGUAUUAGAUUAUUUAGUAAACUGAAACUCUAAAUGAGAAAUCAUGUAUGGCUCACUGCUGCAUGUUGGGGCAUUAGCACCGGUCGGAAAGAGUCUGUUGCCCCGGUUCCCGAGCCGGUGCUGCCCUUCCGGGACUAAAGGCCCACCCUUUAGUCCCGGUUCCGGGGAACCGGGGCUAAAGCCCCUCUUUAACCGGUGUUAAAGGAUCCUGCCAGGGCUGCCACGUUGCAGGACCCGGUGUUAAAGGAUUUCUUUUUUUUUGGUUCACUUCUUUGGUUCUGUUUAUUGUUUUUAUAUAAUAAUAAUAGGUUUUUCAAUACAUAUUUUUUGCUGAUUACAAUAAUAUAUUUAUAUUACACGCAUAUUAAGCAUAUAUAAAUGAAAAUUAGAGGCUUAGCUUUAUAAUUAAGCUUUGCCUAUAAUAAAAUGAAUAGGUCACAUCAAAAAUUAAAUAGAUAUGUAAAAAGCUUUAUAUAUAGUUGAUUAAUUCAAGCAAGCUUGGCUACAACAAAUACAAUCGCAACUAGCACUAAAAAAACCAAAACUAAAAUGCACUUAAGCAUAAUUAGUUCGCGUCCGAUCCCAACUAUAAUAGAUAGAUCAUUCGCUUGAUCAACAUUUAAAAAAAAUAAGCACAUAUAUAAGCAAAUGUGUGGAAAUAACUCACAUUACGAUCCGAACACUUGUAGAAUAUACGACCCUUGUUUACUCCCUCUUUCGACACUUUGUACUCCAUCACAAUCUUCUACCCACACUUGCCACAAGUAAUGAGAGGGAGUUCCGGCCGGUAUCGCUUUUGAACGCGUUGAGAGACCGAAGACCCGGUCACGGUUGCUAUCUACUAUCCAUACUCAAUUUUUAAACAAUUAUAAAUUCCACACAUUUACUAGUAAACAUGUAUGAUUAAAGAAGAACCUAAUAAUAUCCUUUGUUUGUCUAGUUGCUUUAACAAAUCUUCUAAAUUAUAUAAUGAACAUUAUGUAGUAAUAAAAAUAAAUCAAGUGAUAUUAACAAACCAAUUAAUUUGAACUAUCCUACUUUCUAAGAUCAUAAAUAAUUCAUUCUUGCAAAGUACAUUAAUACUAGGUCAACCAUGAAAUAUGAUAUAUAUAUAUAUGGAUACUAAUUCAUGCGAAUGAUUCAAAAUAACAAAGUGGAUUUGAGUUAAAAAUGAUGGGAACAUCACAAGCCAAAAACAACAUGAAAAAGACAAGAAAGGCUGAAGUUAGUCACCUCCAAGCACGAUGAGACGAUGACGGAGUCGAAGAAGAUCAACAAUGGGCGUCGGAGAUGAAGAACAAAUGAAGAACAAGCAAGAAGAAGCUUCAAGAACAACAAUGGUGCUCUCGGUUUCAAAUGGGCAGAGGGGAGGCGGGAGACAGCCUAUAAACCGGACCUUUAGCACCGGUUCAGGGCAAAAACCGGGUUUGUGUUACAAACCGGUGAUAAAGGCUUUGCCUCGGCCCAUGGCACUGGCCGGUGCUAAAGGGGACCCUUUAGCACCGGUUUAUAACACGAACCGGUGCUAAAGGGUCCCUGUCCCGACAGCACCUGUCAGGGCCUUUAACCUCGGGCCGCAAAAAGGCCGAGGUUUUUGGCGAUUUUGGGCGUCGACCAAUGCCUCAUUCUAUAGUAGUGGCUCAUAAUUAAAUUAAAGCAAGAGCAAGCAGCAAAGUUGUAUAUGCAUUGAACAAAAUGGGUUUCUCUGAUUACAACUAUCCCUGCAUAAAAAUUUCCAGAUAAUGCUAGAUCCCUACAACCAUUUUAAUAACAAUAAUGCUACAACCACCUCUGGUUUCUUUGCAUGAGAUGGUAAAAAUAAUAGCAGUAGUGCAUUACCAUCUAUAAUAAACAUUGAUAUACUAAUAUCAUAGCGAUUCAGGACAAAUACCAAAACAAUACAGGACAAAUCUCACCGUUAGCAGCCAUGUCGUGGAGCCGUGGAGUGCUUUCUGGAGUCUGGAGCUUGAACCUUCAAGAAAGCACAGCAGCAGCAGUAGCAGCUGUCAGCAAUCUAGAUAGAUCCCUACACUGCUCCUUUGUCCUUGGCUCCUUGCCACCCGCUGCAACCUGCAGGUGCAGGAUCUGCCCACCGUGCUGACUACCAAGGGUCGAGGCUACUCCCUGCGUGCUGCUCGCCACACCCGAGCCCGACGGUCACCGCAGCAGUGGCACGCCGAGUCCGCCCGCCGCACGGCCGCACCUGCCCACCACGCCCCGUGUCGCACGCCCUGCCGUCGCUGGUAACUACGCUCGCGCUGCUGCCAGGAGCAGAGCCGCGGCCGUCGCUACGAGGAGCAGAUCCACACUAGUGCCAGGUUGUGCCGUCGCAACCGACGCCGGUGAGAGGCAGAUCCGGAUGCAAAUAGCCAAAUAGCUUAAGUUAGGGACUGGGUGCUCAGUAUUGCAGAAGGGAAGAUAAGGGCAAGCGUACCUGUGUGCUUAUCGCUGGUGAAGAGGGCUUGUUGAAGACCUAGGCAUGGCUCCAACCUCCGCGCCCUGCUCGCCGUCCAUGUCAUGCCGACGAUGCGUGCCUCCUCCGCGCAAGGAUUCGGUCAUGGUAACAGCUGGGGUGGGAAGCUGCCGCCGCCAUCCUCAGAUGGGCUUUGAUGUAGGUGGCACUGGGUGAGAUGGGAUGGGAGGUCAGGGUGGGGAAGGGGAGCGACGACUAGUGGAGAGGAGGGAGUCAAGGGAGACAGCCAGGAUAGGUUAGAGUUUUUGGAGCUCAUAUAUAUAUGUGAG